rnacentral:lncRNA from 1 species
AACUGAGCUAUCAGGGUGUUCUCUAGUCACAAUUGCAGAAAACAUAGUGCCUGAGACAACACCCUAUGCCCACACAACUAUUGGAACCCAUAGUCAAUCAAAAGCCCAGCCCUACCUGCAGAACAAAGCUUUGCAGUUUGUACACAACAGUCAUUGCCAGGGACCCAGAACUGAUAAUCAAGACUUUUAGGCUGGGUGGAUAAAAAAUUGAUGGUUGGAAAAUUAAGUUAUGUGGUUUGUGUUUUUAAAUAUUGGAGGAGUUGACAGAUAAAGACAAGGGUUGGCUUUAUUUCAAUUUGACAUGCACAGGCUUGGAGCUGGAGUUGAACCGGCGACUUCAGGAUCACAGCGUUUCAGAUGAGGAACAUCCUACAGCCCUUCGCUCUACCAACUGAGCUAUCAGGGUGUUCUCUAGUCACAAUUGCAGAAAACAUAGUGGCUGAGACAACACCCUAUGCCCACACAACUAUUGGAACCCAUAGUCAAUCAAAAGCCCAGCCCUGCCUGCAGAACAAAGCUUUGCAGUUUGUACCCAACAGUCAUUGCCAAGGACCCAUAACUGAUAAUCAAGACUUUUAGGCUGGUUGAAUAAAAAAUUGAUGGUUGGAAAAUUAAGUUAUGUGGUUUGUGUUUUUAAAUAUUGGAGGAGUUGACAGAUAAAGACAAGGCUUGGCUUUAUUUCAAUUUGACAUGCACAGGCUUGGAGCUGGAGUUGAACCGGCGACUUCAGGAUCACAGCGUUUCAGAUGAGAAACAUCCUACAGCCCUCCGCUCUACCAACUGAGCUAUCAGGGUGUUCUCUAGUCACAAUUGCAGAAAACAUAGUGGCUGAGACAACACCCUAUGCCCACACAACUAUUGGAACCCAUAGUCAAUCAAAAGCCCAGCCCUAGCUGCAGAACAAAGCUUUGCAGCUUGUACCCAACAGUCAUUGCCAGGGACCCAGAACUGAUAAUCAAGACUUUUAGGCUGGGUGCAUAAAAAAUUGAUGGUUGGAAAAUUAAGUUAUGUGGUUUGUGGUUUUAAAUAUUGGAGGAGUUGACAGAUAAAGACAAGGCUUGGCUUUAUUUCAAUUUGACAUGCACAGGCUUGGAGCUGGAGUUGAACCGGCGACUUCAGGAUCACAGCGUUUCAGAUGAGGAACAUACUACAGCCCUCCGCUCUACCAACUGAGCUAUCAGGGUGUUCUCUAGUCACAAUUGCAGAAAACAUAGUGCCUGAGACAACACCCUAUGCCCACACAACUAUUGGAACCCAUAGUCAAUCAAAAGCCCAGCCCUACCUGCAGAACAAAGCUUUGCAGUUUGUACACAACAGUCAUUGCCAGGGACCCAGAACUGAUAAUCAAGACUUUUAGGCUGGGUGGAUAAAAAAUUGAUGGUUGGAAAAUUAAGUUAUGUGGUUUGUGUUUUUAAAUAUUGGAGGAGUUGACAGAUAAAGACAAGGGUUGGCUUUAUUUCAAUUUGACAUGCACAGGCUUGGAGCUGGAGUUGAACCGGCGACUUCAGGAUCACAGCGUUUCAGAUGAGGAACAUCCUACAGCCCUUCGCUCUACCAACUGAGCUAUCAGGGUGUUCUCUAGUCACAAUUGCAGAAAACAUAGUGGCUGAGACAACACCCUAUGCCCACACAACUAUUGGAACCCAUAGUCAAUCAAAAGCCCAGCCCUGCCUGCAGAACAAAGCUUUGCAGUUUGUACCCAACAGUCAUUGCCAAGGACCCAUAACUGAUAAUCAAGACUUUUAGGCUGGGUGAAUAAAAAAUUGAUGGUUGGAAAAUUAAGUUAUGUGGUUUGUGGUUUUAAAUAUUGGAGGAGUUGACAGAUAAAGACAAGGCUUGGCUUUAUUUCAAUUUGACAUGCACAGGCUUGGAGCUGGAGUUGAACCGGCGACUUCAGGAUCACAGCGUUUCAGAUGAGGAACAUCCUACAGCCGUCCGCUCUACCAACUGAGCUAUCAGGUUGUUCUCUAGUCACAAUUGCAGAAAACAUAGUGGCUGAGACAACACCCUAUGCCCACACAACUAUUGGAACCCAUAGUCAAUCAAAAGCCCAGCCCUACCUGCAGAACAAAGCUUUGCAGCUUGUACCCAACAGUCAUUGCCAGGGACCCAGAACUGAUAAUCAAGACUUUUAGGCUGGGUGAAUAAAAAACUGAUGGUUGGAAAAUUAAGUUAUGUGGUUUUAAAUGUUGGAGGAGUUGACAGAUAAAGACAAGGCUUGGCUUUAUUUCAAUUUGACAUGCACAGGCUUGGAGCUGGAGUUGAACCGGCGACUUCAGGAUCACAGCGUUUCAGAUGAGGAACAUCCUACAGCCCUCCGCUCUACCAACUGAGCUAUCAGGGUGUUCUCUAGUCACAAUUGCAGAAAACAUAGUGGCUGAGACAACACCCUAUGCCCACACAACUAUUGGAACCCAUAGUCAAUCAAAAGCCCAGCCCUACCUGCAGAACAAAGCUUUGCAGUUUGUACCCAACAGUCAUUGCCAGGGACCCAGAACUGAUAAUCUAGACUUUUAGGCUGGUUGAAUAAAAAAUUGAUGGUUGGAAAAUUAAGUUAUGUGGUUAUAAAUAUUGGAGGAGUUGACAGAUAAAGACAAAGCUUGGCUUUAUUUCAAUUUGACAUGCACAGGCUUGGAGCUGGAGUUGAACCGGCGACUUCAGGAUCACAGCGUUUAAGAUGAGGAACAUCCUACAGCCCUCCGCUCUACCAACUGAGCUAUCAGGGUGUUCUCUAGUCACAAUUGCAGAAAACAUAGUGGCUGAGACAACACCCUAUGCCCACACAACUAUUGGAACCCAUAGUCAAUCAAAAGCCCAGCCCUACCUGCAGAACAAAGCUUUGCAGCUUGUACCCAACAGUCAUUGCCAGGGACCCAGAACUGAUAAUCAAGACUUUUAGGCUGGGUGAAUAAAAAAUUGAUGGUUGGAAAAUUAAGUUAUGUGGUUUGUGGUUUUAAAUAUUGGAGGAGUUGACAGAUAAAGACAAGGCUUGGCUUUAUUUCAAUUUGACAUGCACAGGCUUGGAGCUGGAGUUGAACCGGCGACUUCAGGAUCACAGCGUUUCAGAUGAGGAACAUCCUACAGCCCUCCGCUCUACCAACUGAGCUAUCAGGGUGUUCUCUAGUCACAAUUGCAGAAAACAUAGUGGCUGAGACAACACCCUAUGCCCACACAACUAUUGGAACCCAUCGUCAAUCAAAAGCCCAGCCCUACCUGCAGAACAAAGCUUUGCAGUUUGUACCCAACAGUCAUUGCCAGGGACCCAGAACUGAUAAUCAAGACUUUUAGGCUGGGUGAAUAAAAAAUUGAUGGUUGGAAAAUUAAGUUAUGUGGUUUGUGUUUUUAAAUAUUGGAGGAGUUGACAGAUAAAGACAAGGCUUGGCUUUAUUUAAAUUUGACAUGCACAGGCUUGGAGCUGGAGUUGAACCGGCGACUUCAGGAUCACAGCGUUUCCGAUGAGGAACAUCCUACAGCCCUCCGCUCUACCAACUGAGCUAUCAGGGUGUUCUCUAGUCACAAUUGCAGAAAACAUAGUGGCUGAGACAACACCCUAUGCCCACACAACUAUUGGAACCCAUAGUCAAUCAAAAGCCCAGCCCUACCUGCAGAACAAAGCUUUGCAGUUUGUACCCAACAGUCAUUGCCAGGGACCCAGAACUGAUAAUCAAGACUUUUAGGCUGGGUGAAUAAAAAACUGAUGGUUGGAAAAUUAAGUUAUGUUGUUUGUGUUUUUAAAUAUUGGAGGAGUUGACAGAUAAAGACAAGGCUUGGCUUUAUUUCAAUUUUAACAUGCACAGGCUUGGAGCUGGAGUUGAACCAGCGACUUCAGGAUCACAGCGUUUCAGAUGAGGAACAUGCUACAGCCCUCCGCUCUACCAACUGAGCUAUCAGGGUGUUCUCUAGUCACAAUUGCAGAAAACAUAGUGGCUGAGACAACACCCUAUGCCCACACAACUAUUGGAACCCAUAGUCAAUCAAAAGCCCAGCCCUACCUGCAGAACAAAGCUUUGCAGUUUGUACCCAACAGUCAUUGCCAGGGACCCAGAACUGAUAAUCAAGACUUUUAGGCUGGGUGAAUAAAAAACUGAUGGUUGGAAAAUUAAGUUAUGUGGUUUGUGUUUUUAAAUAUUGGAGGAGUUGACAGAUAAAGACAAGGCUUGGCUUUAUUUCAAUUUGACAUGCACAAGCUUGGAGCUGGAGUUGAACCGGCGACUUCAGGAUCAGAGAGUUUCAGAUGAGGAACAUCCUACAGCCCUCCGCUCUACCAACUGAGCUAUCAGGGUGUUCUCUAGUCACAAUUGCAGAAAACAUAGUGGCUGAGACAACACCCUAUGCCCACACAACUAUUGGAACCCAUAGUCAAUCAAAAGCCCAGCCCUACCUGCAGAACAAAGCUUUGCAGUUUGUACCCAACAGUCAUUGCCAGGGACCCAGAACUGAUAAUCAAGACUUUUAGGCUGGGUGAAUAAAAAACUGAUGGUUGGAAAAUUAAGUUAUGUUGUUUGUGUUUUUAAAUAUUGGAGGAGUUGACAGAUAAAGACAAGGCUUGGCUUUAUUUCAAUUUGACAUGCACAGGCUUGGAGCUGGAGUUGAACCGGCGACUUCAGGAUCACAGCGUUUCAGAUGAGGAACAUCCUACAGCCCUCGGCUCUACCAACUGAGCUAUCAGGGUGUUCUCUAGUCACAAUUGCAGAAAACAUAGUGGCUGAGACAACACCCUAUGCCCACACAACUAUUGGAACCCAUAGUCAAUCAAAAGCCCAGCCCUACCUGCAGAACAAAGCUUUGCAGUUUGUACCCAACAGUCAUUGCCAGGGACCCAGAACUGAUAAUCAAGACUUUUAGGCUGGGUGAAUAAAAAACUGAUGGUUGGAAAAUUAAGUUAUGUUGUUUGUGUUUUUAAAUAUUGGAGGAGUUGACAGAUAAAGACAAGGCUUGGCUUUAUUUCAAUUUGACAUGCACAGGCUUGGAGCUGGAGUUGAACCGGCGACUUCAGGAUCACAGCGUUUCAGAUGAGAAACAUCCUACAGCCCUCGGCUCUACCAACUGAGCUAUCAGGGUGUUCUCUAGUCACAAUUGCAGAAAACAUAGUGGCUGAGACAACACCCUAUGCCCACACAACUAUUGGAACCCAUAGUCAAUCAAAAGCCCAGCCCUACCUGCAGAACAAAGCUUUGCAGCUUGUACCCAACAGUCAUUGCCAGGGACCCAGAACUGAUAAUCAAGACUUUUAGGCUGGGUGAAUAAAAAAUUGAUGGUUGGAAAAUUAAGUUAUGUGGUUUUAAAUAUUGGAGGAGUUGACAGAUAAAGACAAGGCUUGGCUUUAUUUCAAUUUGACAUGCACAGGCUUGGAGCUGGAGUUGAACCGGCGACUUCAGGAUCACAGCGUUUCAGAUGAGAAACAUCCUACAGCCCCCCGCUCUACCAACUGAGCUAUCAGGGUGUUCUCUAGUCACAAUUGCAGAAAACAUAGUGGCUGAGACAACACCCUAUGCCCACACAACUAUUGGAACCCAUAGUCAAUCAAAAGCCCAGCCCUACCUGCAGAACAAAGCUUUGCAGUUUGUACCCAACAGUCAUUGCCAGGGACCCAGAACUGAUAAUCAAGACUUUUAGGCUGGGUGAAUAAAAAACUGAUGGUUGGAAAAUUAAGUUAUGUUGUUUGUGUUUUUAAAUAUUGGAGGAGUUGACAGAUAAAGACAAGGCUUGGCUUUAUUUCAAUUUUAACAUGCACAGGCUUGGAGCUGGAGUUGAACCAGCGACUUCAGGAUCACAGCGUUUCAGAUGAGGAACAUGCUACAGCCCUCCGCUCUACCAACUGAGCUAUCAGGGUGUUCUCUUGUCACAAUUGCAGAAAACAUAGUGGCUGAGACAACACCCUAUGCCCACACAACUAAUGGAACCCAUAGUCAAUCAAAAGCCCAGCCCUACCUGCAGAACAAAGCUUUGCAGCUUGUACCCAACAGUCAUUGCCAGGGACCCAGAACUGAUAAUCAAGACUUUUAGGCUGGGUGAAUAAAAAACUGAUGGUUGGAAAAUUAAGUUAUGUGGUUUGUGGUUUUAAAUAUUGGAGGAGUUGACAGAUAAAGACAAGGCUUGGCUUUAUUUCAAUUUGACAUGCACAGGCUUGGAGCUGGAGUUGAACCGGCGACUUCAGGAUCACAGCGUUUCAGAUGAGGAACAUCCUACAGCCCUCCGCUCUAUCAACUGAGCUAUCAGGGUGUUCUCUAGUCACAAUUGCAGAAAACAUAGUGGCUGAGACAACGCCCUAUGCCCACACAACUAUUGGAACCCAUAGUCAAUCAAAAGCCCAGCCCUACCUGCAGAACAAAGCUUUGCAGCUUGUACCCAACAGUCAUUGCCAGGGACCCAGAACUGAUAAUCAAGACUUUUAGGCUGGGUGAAUAAAAAACUGAUGGUUGGAAAAUUAAGUUAUGUGGUUUGUGGUUUUAAAUAUUGGAGGAGUUGACAGAUAAAGACAAGGCUUGGCUUUAUUUCAAUUUGACAUGCACAGGCAUGGAGCUGGAGUUGAAACGGCGACUUCAGGAUCACAGCAUUUCAGAUGAGGAACAUCCUACAGCCCUCCGCUCUACCAACUGAGCUAUCAGGGUGUUCUCUAGUCACAAUUGCAGAAAACAUAGUGGCUGAGACAACACCCUAUGCCCACACAACUAUUGGAACCCAUAGUCAAUCAAAAGCCCAGCCCUACCUGCAGAACAAAGCUUUGCAGCUUGUACCCAACAGUCAUUGCCAGGGACCCAGAACUGAUAAUCAAGACUUUUAGGCUGGGUGAAUAAAAAACUGAUGGUUGGAAAAUUAAGUUAUGUGGUUUGUGGUUUUAAAUAUUGGAGGAGUUGACAGAUAAAGACAAGGCUUGGCUUUAUUUCAAUUUGACAUGCACAGGCAUGGAGCUGGAGUUGAAACGGCGACUUCAGGAUCACAGCAUUUCAGAUGAGGAACAUCCUACAGCCCUCCGCUCUACCAACUGAGCUAUCAGGGUGUUCUCUAGUCACAAUUGCAGAAAACAUAGUGGCUGAGACAACACCCUAUGCCCACACAACUAUUGGAACCCAUAGUCAAUCAAAAGCCCAGCCCUACCUGCAGAACAAAGCUUUGCAGUUUGUACCCAACAGUCAUUGCCAGGGACCCAGAACUGAUAAUCAAGACUUUUAGGCUGGGUGAAUAAAAAACUGAUGGUUGGAAAAUUAAGUUAUGUUGUUUGUGUUUUUAAAUAUUGGAGGAGUUGACAGAUAAAGACAAGGCUUGGCUUUAUUUCAAUUUUAACAUGCACAGGCUUGGAGCUGGAGUUGAACCAGCGACUUCAGGAUCACAGCGUUUCAGAUGAGGAACAUCCUACAGCCCUCCGCUCUACCAACUGAGCUAUCAGGGUGUUCUCUAGUCACAAUUGCAGAAAACAUAGUGGCUGAGACAACACCCUAUGCCCACACAACUAUUGGAACCCAUAGUCAAUCAAAAGCCCAGCCCUACCUGCAGAACAAAGCUUUGCAGCUUGUACCCAACAGUCAUUGCCAGGGACCCAGAACUUAUAAUCAAGACUUUUAGGCUGGGUGAAUAAAAAACUGAUGGUUGGAAAAUUAAGUUAUGUGGUUUUAAAUAUUGGAGGAGUUGACAGAUAAAGACAAGGCUUGGCUUUAUUUCAAUUUGACAUGCACAGGCUUGGAGCUGGAGUUGAACCGGCGACUUCAGGAUCACAGCGUUUCAGAUGAGAAACAUCCUACAGCACUCGGCUCUACCAACUGAGCUAUCAGGGUGUUCUCUAGUCACAAUUGCAGAAAACAUAGUGGCUGAGACAACACCCUAUGCCCACACAACUAUUGGAACCCAUAGUCAAUCAAAAGCCCAGCCCUACCUGCAGAACAAAGCUUUGCAGCUUGUACCCAACAGUCAUUGCCAGGGACCCAGAACUGAUAAUCAAGACUUUUAGGCUGGGUGAAUAAAAAAUUGAUGGUUGGAAAAUUAAGUUAUGUGGUUUUAAAUAUUGGAGGAGUUGACAGAUAAAGACAAGGCUUGGCUUUAUUUCAAUUUGACAUGCACAGGCUUGGAGCUGGAGUUGAACCGGCGACUUCAGGAUCACAGCGUUUCAGAUGAGAAACAUCCUACAGCCCCCCGCUCUACCAACUGAGCUAUCAGGGUGUUCUCUAGUCACAAUUGCAGAAAACAUAGUGGCUGAGACAACACCCUAUGCCCACACAACUAUUGGAACCCAUAGUCAAUCAAAAGCCCAGCCCUACCUGCAGAACAAAGCUUUGCAGUUUGUACCCAACAGUCAUUGCCAGGGACCCAGAACUGAUAAUCAAGACUUUUAGGCUGGGUGAAUAAAAAACUGAUGGUUGGAAAAUUAAGUUAUGUUGUUUGUGUUUUUAAAUAUUGGAGGAGUUGACAGAUAAAGACAAGGCUUGGCUUUAUUUCAAUUUUAACAUGCACAGGCUUGGAGCUGGAGUUGAACCAGCGACUUCAGGAUCACAGCGUUUCAGAUGAGGAACAUCCUACAGCCCUCCGCUCUACCAACUGAGCUAUCAGGGUGUUCUCUAGUCACAAUUGCAGAAAACAUAGUGGCUGAGACAACACCCUAUGCCCACACAACUAUUGGAACCCAUAGUCAAUCAAAAGCCCAGCCCUACCUGCAGAACAAAGCUUUGCAGCUUGUACCCAACAGUCAUUGCCAGGGACCCAGAACUGAUAAUCAAGACUUUUAGGCUGGGUGAAUAAAAAACUGAUGGUUGGAAAAUUAAGUUAUGUGGUUUUAAAUAUUGGAGGAGUUGACAGAUAAAGACAAGGCUUGGCUUUAUUUCAAUUUGACAUGCACAGGCUUGGAGCUGGAGUUGAACCGGCGACUUCAGGAUCACAGCGUUUCAGAUGAGAAACAUCCUACAGCACUCGGCUCUACCAACUGAGCUAUCAGGGUGUUCUCUAGUCACAAUUGCAGAAAACAUAGUGGCUGAGACAACACCCUAUGCCCACACAACUAUUGGAACCCAUAGUCAAUCAAAAGCCCAGCCCUACCUGCAGAACAAAGCUUUGCAGCUUGUACCCAACAGUCAUUGCCAGGGACCCAGAACUGAUAAUCAAGACUUUUAGGCUGGGUGAAUAAAAAAUUGAUGGUUGGAAAAUUAAGUUAUGUGGUUUUAAAUAUUGGAGGAGUUGACAGAUAAAGACAAGGCUUGGCUUUAUUUCAAUUUGACAUGCACAGGCUUGGAGCUGGAGUUGAACCGGCGACUUCAGGAUCACAGCGUUUCAGAUGAGAAACAUCCUACAGCCCCCGCUCUACCAACUGAGCUAUCAGGGUGUUCUCUAGUCACAAUUGCAGAAAACAUAGUGGCUGAGACAACACCCUAUGCCCACACAACUAUUGGAACCCAUAGUCAAUCAAAAGCCCAGCCCUACCUGCAGAACAAAGCUUUGCAGUUUGUACCCAACAGUCAUUGCCAGGGACCCAGAACUGAUAAUCAAGACUUUUAGGCUGGGUGAAUAAAAAACUGAUGGUUGGAAAAUUAAGUUAUGUUGUUUGUGUUUUUAAAUAUUGGAGGAGUUGACAGAUAAAGACAAGGCUUGGCUUUAUUUCAAUUUUAACAUGCACAGGCUUGGAGCUGGAGUUGAACCAGCGACUUCAGGAUCACAGCGUUUCAGAUGAGGAACAUGCUACAGCCCUCCGCUCUACCAACUGAGCUAUCAGGGUGUUCUCUUGUCACAAUUGCAGAAAACAUAGUGGCUGAGACAACACCCUAUGCCCACACAACUAUUGGAACCCAUAGUCAAUCAAAAGCCCAGCCCUACCUGCAGAACAAAGCUUUGCAGCUUGUACCCAACAGUCAUUGCCAGGGACCCAGAACUGAUAAUCAAGACUUUUAGGCUGGGUGAAUAAAAAACUGAUGGUUGGAAAAUUAAGUUAUGUGGUUUGUGGUUUUAAAUAUUGGAGGAGUUGACAGAUAAAGACAAGGCUUGGCUUUAUUUCAAUUUGACAUGCACAGGCUUGGAGCUGGAGUUGAACCGGCGACUUCAGGAUCACAGCGUUUCAGAUGAGGAACAUCCUACAGCCCUCCGCUCUACCAACUGAGCUAUCAGGGUGUUCUCUUGUCACAAUUGCAGAAAACAUAGUGGCUGAGACAACACCCUAUGCCCACACAACUAAUGGAACCCAUAGUCAAUCAAAAGCCCAGCCCUACCUGCAGAACAAAGCUUUGCAGCUUGUACCCAACAGUCAUUGCCAGGGACCCAGAACUGAUAAUCAAGACUUUUAGGCUGGGUGAAUAAAAAAUUGAUGGUUGGAAAAUUAAGUUAUGUGGUUUUAAAUAUUGGAGGAGUUGACAGAUAAAGACAAGGCUUGGCUUUAUUUCAAUUUGACAUGCACAGGCUUGGAGCUGGAGUUGAACCGGCGACUUCAGGAUCACAGCGUUUCAGAUGAGGAACAUCCUACAGCCCUCGGCUCUACCAACUGAGCUAUCAGGGUGUUCUCUAGUCACAAUUGCAGAAAACAUAGUGGCUGAGACAACACCCUAUGCCCACACAACUAUUGGAACCCAUAGUCAAUCAAAAGCCCAGCCCUACCUGCAGAACAAAGCUUUGCAGCUUGUACCCAACAGUCAUUGCCAGGGACCCAGAACUGAUAAUCAAGACUUUUAGGCUGGGUGAAUAAAAAACUGAUGGUUGGAAAAUUAAGUUAUGUUGUUUGUGUUUUUAAAUAUUGGAGGAGUUGACAGAUAAAGACAAGGCUUGGCUUUAUUUCAAUUUUAACAUGCACAGGCUUGGAGCUGGAGUUGAACCAGCGACUUCAGGAUCACAGCGUUUCAGAUGAGGAACAUGCUACAGCCCUCCGCUCUACCAACUGAGCUAUCAGGGUGUUCUCUUGUCACAAUUGCAGAAAACAUAGUGGCUGAGACAACACCCUAUGCCCACACAACUAUUGGAACCCAUAGUCAAUCAAAAGCCCCGCCCUACCUGCAGAACAAAGCUUUGCAGCUUGUACCCAACAGUCAUUGCCAGGGACCCAGAACUGAUAAUCAAGACUUUUAGGCUGGGUGAAUAAAAAACUGAUGGUUGGAAAAUUAAGUUAUGUGGUUUGUGGUUUUAAAUAUUGGAGGAGUUGACAGAUAAAGACAAGGCUUGGCUUUAUUUCAAUUUGACAUGCACAGGCUUGGAGCUGGAGUUGAACCGGCGACUUCAGGAUCACAGCGUUUCAGAUGAGGAACAUCCUACAGCCCUCCGCUCUACCAACUGAGCUAUCAGGGUGUUCUCUAGUCACAAUUGCAGAAAACAUAGUGGCUGAGACAACACCCUAUGCCCACACAACUAUUGGAACCCAUAGUCAAUCAAAAGCCCAGCCCUACCUGCAGAACAAAGCUUUGCAGCUUGUACCCAACAGUCAUUGCCAGGGACCCAGAACUGAUAAUCAAGACUUUUAGGCUGGGUGAAUAAAAAACUGAUGGUUGGAAAAUUAAGUUAUGUGGUUUUAAAUAUUGGAGGAGUUGACAGAUAAAGACAAGGCUUGGCUUUAUUUCAAUUUGACAUGCACAGGCUUGGAGCUGGAGUUGAACCGGCGACUUCAGGAUCACAGCGUUUCAGAUGAGAAACAUCCUACAGCCCUCGGCUCUACCAACUGAGCUAUCAGGGUGUUCUCUAGUCACAAUUGCAGAAAACAUAGUGGCUGAGACAACACCCUAUGCCCACACAACUAUUGGAACCCAUAGUCAAUCAAAAGCCCAGCCCUACCUGCAGAACAAAGCUUUGCAGCUUGUACCCAACAGUCAUUGCCAGGGACCCAGAACUGAUAAUCAAGACUUUUAGGCUGGGUGAAUAAAAAAUUGAUGGUUGGAAAAUUAAGUUAUGUGGUUUUAAAUAUUGGAGGAGUUGACAGAUAAAGACAAGGCUUGGCUUUAUUUCAAUUUGACAUGCACAGGCUUGGAGCUGGAGUUGAACCGGCGACUUCAGGAUCACAGCGUUUCAGAUGAGAAACAUCCUACAGCCCCCCGCUCUACCAACUGAGCUAUCAGGGUGUUCUCUAGUCACAAUUGCAGAAAACAUAGUGGCUGAGACAACACCCUAUGCCCACACAACUAUUGGAACCCAUAGUCAAUCAAAAGCCCAGCCCUACCUGCAGAACAAAGCUUUGCAGUUUGUACCCAACAGUCAUUGCCAGGGACCCAGAACUGAUAAUCAAGACUUUUAGGCUGGGUGAAUAAAAAACUGAUGGUUGGAAAAUUAAGUUAUGUUGUUUGUGUUUUUAAAUAUUGGAGGAGUUGACAGAUAAAGACAAGGCUUGGCUUUAUUUCAAUUUUAACAUGCACAGGCUUGGAGCUGGAGUUGAACCAGCGACUUCAGGAUCACAGCGUUUCAGAUGAGGAACAUGCUACAGCCCUCCGCUCUACCAACUGAGCUAUCAGGGUGUUCUCUUGUCACAAUUGCAGAAAACAUAGUGGCUGAGACAACACCCUAUGCCCACACAACUAUUGGAACCCAUAGUCAAUCAAAAGCCCAGCCCUACCUGCAGAACAAAGCUUUGCAGCUUGUACCCAACAGUCAUUGCCAGGGACCCAGAACUGAUAAUCAAGACUUUUAGGCUGGGUGAAUAAAAAACUGAUGGUUGGAAAAUUAAGUUAUGUGGUUUGUGGUUUUAAAUAUUGGAGGAGUUGACAGAUAAAGACAAGGCUUGGCUUUAUUUCAAUUUGACAUGCACAGGCUUGGAGCUGGAGUUGAACCGGCGACUUCAGGAUCACAGCGUUUCAGAUGAGGAACAUCCUACAGCCCUCCGCUCUACCAACUGAGCUAUCAGGGUGUUCUCUAGUCACAAUUGCAGAAAACAUAGUGGCUGAGACAACACCCUAUGCCCACACAACUAUUGGAACCCAUAGUCAAUCAAAAGCCCAGCCCUACCUGCAGAACAAAGCUUUGCAGCUUGUACCCAACAGUCAUUGCCAGGGACCCAGAACUGAUAAUCAAGACUUUUAGGCUGGGUGAAUAAAAAACUGAUGGUUGGAAAAUUAAGUUAUGUGGUUUGUGGUUUUAAAUAUUGGAGGAGUUGACAGAUAAAGACAAGGCUUGGCUUUAUUUCAAUUUGACAUGCACAGGCAUGGAGCUGGAGUUGAAACGGCGACUUCAGGAUCACAGCAUUUCAGAUGAGGAACAUCCUACAGCCCUCCGCUCUACCAACUGAGCUAUCAGGGUGUUCUCUAGUCACAAUUGCAGAAAACAUAGUGGCUGAGACAACACCCUAUGCCCACACAACUAUUGGAACCCAUAGUCAAUCAAAAGCCCAGCCCUACCUGCAGAACAAAGCUUUGCAGUUUGUACCCAACAGUCAUUGCCAGGGACCCAGAACUGAUAAUCAAGACUUUUAGGCUGGGUGAAUAAAAAACUGAUGGUUGGAAAAUUAAGUUAUGUUGUUUGUGUUUUUAAAUAUUGGAGGAGUUGACAGAUAAAGACAAGGCUUGGCUUUAUUUCAAUUUUAACAUGCACAGGCUUGGAGCUGGAGUUGAACCAGCGACUUCAGGAUCACAGCGUUUCAGAUGAGGAACAUCCUACAGCCCUCCGCUCUACCAACUGAGCUAUCAGGGUGUUCUCUAGUCACAAUUGCAGAAAACAUAGUGGCUGAGACAACACCCUAUGCCCACACAACUAUUGGAACCCAUAGUCAAUCAAAAGCCCAGCCCUACCUGCAGAACAAAGCUUUGCAGCUUGUACCCAACAGUCAUUGCCAGGGACCCAGAACUGAUAAUCAAGACUUUUAGGCUGGGUGAAUAAAAAACUGAUGGUUGGAAAAUUAAGUUAUGUGGUUUUAAAUAUUGGAGGAGUUGACAGAUAAAGACAAGGCUUGGCUUUAUUUCAAUUUGACAUGCACAGGCUUGGAGCUGGAGUUGAACCGGCGACUUCAGGAUCACAGCGUUUCAGAUGAGAAACAUCCUACAGCCCUCCGCUCUACCAACUGAGCUAUCAGGGUGUUCUCUAGUCACAAUUGCAGAAAACAUAGUGGCUGAGACAACACCCUAUGCCCACACAACUAUUGGAACCCAUAGUCAAUCAAAAGCCCAGCCCUACCUGCAGAACAAAGCUUUGCAGCUUGUACCCAACAGUCAUUGCCAGGGACCCAGAACUGAUAAUCAAGACUUUUAGGCUGGGUGAAUAAAAAAUUGAUGGUUGGAAAAUUAAGUUAUGUGGUUUUAAAUAUUGGAGGAGUUGACAGAUAAAGACAAGGCUUGGCUUUAUUUCAAUUUGACAUGCACAGGCUUGGAGCUGGAGUUGAACCGGCGACUUCAGGAUCACAGCGUUUCAGAUGAGAAACAUCCUACAGCCCCCCGCUCUACCAAUUGAGCUAUCAGGGUGUUCUCUAGUCACAAUUGCAGAAAACAUAGUGGCUGAGACAACACCCUAUGCCCACACAACUAUUGGAACCCAUAGUCAAUCAAAAGCCCAGCCCUACCUGCAGAACAAAGCUUUGCAGUUUGUACCCAACAGUCAUUGCCAGGGACCCAGAACUGAUAAUCAAGACUUUUAGGCUGGGUGAAUAAAAAACUGAUGGUUGGAAAAUUAAGUUAUGUUGUUUGUGUUUUUAAAUAUUGGAGGAGUUGACAGAUAAAGACAAGGCUUGGCUUUAUUUCAAUUUUAACAUGCACAGGCUUGGAGCUGGAGUUGAACCAGCGACUUCAGGAUCACAGCGUUUCAGAUGAGGAACAUGCUACAGCCCUCCGCUCUACCAACUGAGCUAUCAGGGUGUUCUCUUGUCACAAUUGCAGAAAACAUAGUGGCUGAGACAACACCCUAUGCCCACACAACUAUUGGAACCCAUAGUCAAUCAAAAGCCCAGCCCUACCUGCAGAACAAAGCUUUGCAGCUUGUACCCAACAGUCAUUGCCAGGGACCCAGAACUGAUAAUCAAGACUUUUAGGCUGGGUGAAUAAAAAACUGAUGGUUGGAAAAUUAAGUUAUGUGGUUUGUGGUUUUAAAUAUUGGAGGAGUUGACAGAUAAAGACAAGGCUUGGCUUUAUUUCAAUUUGACAUGCACAGGCUUGGAGCUGGAGUUGAACCGGCGACUUCAGGAUCACAGCGUUUCAGAUGAGGAACAUCCUACAGCCCUCCGCUCUACCAACUGAGCUAUCAGGGUGUUCUCUAGUCACAAUUGCAGAAAACAUAGUGGCUGAGACAACACCCUAUGCCCACACAACUAUUGGAACCCAUAGUCAAUCAAAAGCCCAGCCCUACCUGCAGAACAAAGCUUUGCAGCUUGUACCCAACAGUCAUUGCCAGGGACCCAGAACUGAUAAUCAAGACUUUUAGGCUGGGUGAAUAAAAAACUGAUGGUUGGAAAAUUAAGUUAUGUGGUUUGUGGUUUUAAAUAUUGGAGGAGUUGACAGAUAAAGACAAGGCUUGGCUUUAUUUCAAUUUGACAUACACAGGCAUGGAGCUGGAGUUGAAACGGCGACUUCAGGAUCACAGCAUUUCAGAUGAGGAACAUCCUACAGCCCUCCGCUCUACCAACUGAGCUAUCAGGGUGUUCUCUAGUCACAAUUGCAGAAAACAUAGUGGCUGAGACAACACCCUAUGCCCACACAACUAUUGGAACCCAUAGUCAAUCAAAAGCCCAGCCCUACCUGCAGAACAAAGCUUUGCAGUUUGUACCCAACAGUCAUUGCCAGGGACCCAGAACUGAUAAUCAAGACUUUUAGGCUGGGUGAAUAAAAAACUGAUGGUUGGAAAAUUAAGUUAUGUUGUUUGUGUUUUUAAAUAUUGGAGGAGUUGACAGAUAAAGACAAGGCUUGGCUUUAUUUAAAUUUUAACAUGCACAGGCUUGGAGCUGGAGUUGAACCAGCGACUUCAGGAUCACAGCGUUUCAGAUGAGGAACAUCCUACAGCCCUCCGCUCUACCAACUGAGCUAUCAGGGUGUUCUCUAGUCACAAUUGCAGAAAACAUAGUGGCUGAGACAACACCCUAUGCCCACACAACUAUUGGAACCCAUAGUCAAUCAAAAGCCCAGCCCUACCUGCAGAACAAAGCUUUGCAGUUUGUACCCAACAGUCAUUGUCAGGGACCCAGAACUGAUAAUCAAGACUUUUAGGCUGGGUGAAUAAAAAAUUGAUGGUUGGAAAAUUAAGUUAUGUGGUUUGUGGUUUUAAAUAUUGGAGGAGUUGACAGAUAAAGACAAGGCUUGGCUUUAUUUCAAUUUGACAUGCACAGGCUUGGAGCUGGAGUUGAACCGGCGACUUCAGGAUGACAGCGUUUCAGAUGAGGAACAUCCUACAGCCCUCCGCUCUACCAACUGAGCUAUCAGGGUGUUCUCUAGUCACAAUUGCAGAAAACAUAGUGGCUGAGACAACACCCUAUGCCCACACAACUAUUGGAACCCAUAGUCAAUCAAAAGCCCAGCCCUACCUGCAGAACAAAGCUUUGCAGUUUGUACCCAACAGUCAUUGCCAGGGACCCAGAACUGAUAAUCAAGACUUUUAGGCUGGGUGAAUAAAAAAUUGAUGGUUGGAAAAUUAAGUUAUGUGGUUUUAAAUAUUGGAGGAGUUGACAGAUAAAGACAAGGCUUGGCUUUAUUUCAAUUUGACAUGCACAGGCUUGGAGCUGGAGUUGAACCGGCGACUUCAGGAUCACAGCGUUUCAGAUGAGGAACAUCCUACAGCCCUCCGCUCUACCAACUGAGCUAUCAGGGUGUUCUCUUGUCACAAUUGCAGAAAACAUAGUGGCUGAGACAACACCCUAUGCCCACACAACUAAUGGAACCCAUAGUCAAUCAAAAGCCCAGCCCUACCUGCAGAACAAAGCUUUGCAGCUUGUACCCAACAGUCAUUGCCAGGGACCCAGAACUGAUAAUCAAGACUUUUAGGCUGGGUGAAUAAAAAACUGAUGGUUGGAAAAUUAAGUUAUGUGGUUUGUGGUUUUAAAUAUUGGAGGAGUUGACAGAUAAAGACAAGGCUUGGCUUUAUUUCAAUUUGACAUGCACAGGCUUGGAGCUGGAGUUGAACCGGCGACUUCAGGAUCACAGCGUUUCAGAUGAGGAACAUCCUACAGCCCUCCGCUCUACCAACUGAGCUAUCAGGGUGUUCUCUAGUCACAAUUGCAGAAAACAUAGUGGCUGAGACAACACCCUAUGCCCACACAACUAUUGGAACCCAUAGUCAAUCAAAAGCCCAGCCCUACCUGCAGAACAAAGCUUUGCAGCUUGUACCCAACAGUCAUUGCCAGGGACCCAGAACUGAUAAUCAAGACUUUUAGGCUGGGUGAAUAAAAAACUGAUGGUUGGAAAAUUAAGUUAUGUGGUUUGUGGUUUUAAAUAUUGGAGGAGUUGACAGAUAAAGACAAGGCUUGGCUUUAUUUCAAUUUGACAUGCACAGGCAUGGAGCUGGAGUUGAAACGGCGACUUCAGGAUCACAGCGUUUCAGAUGAGAAACAUCCUACAGCCCUCCGCUCUACCAACUGAGCUAUCAGGGUGUUCUCUAGUCACAAUUGCAGAAAACAUAGUGGCUGAGACAACACCCUAUGCCCACACAACUAUUGGAACCCAUAGUCAAUCAAAAGCCCAGCCCUACCUGCAGAACAAAGCUUUGCAGUUUGUACCCAACAGUCAUUGCCAGGGACCCAGAACUGAUAAUCAAGACUUUUAGGCUGGGUGAAUAAAAAACUGAUGGUUGGAAAAUUAAGUUAUGUUGUUUGUGUUUUUAAAUAUUGGAGGAGUUGACAGAUAAAGACAAGGCUUGGCUUUAUUUCAAUUUUAACAUGCACAGGCUUGGAGCUGGAGUUGAACCAGCGACUUCAGGAUCACAGCGUUUCAGAUGAGGAACAUCCUACAGCCCUCCGCUCUACCAACUGAGCUAUCAGGGUGUUCUCUUGUCACAAUUGCAGAAAACAUAGUGGCUGAGACAACACCCUAUGCCCACACAACUAUUGGAACCCAUAGUCAAUCAAAAGCCCAGCCCUACCUGCAGAACAAAGCUUUGCAGCUUGUACCCAACAGUCAUUGCCAGGGACCCAGAACUGAUAAUCAAGACUUUUAGGCUGGGUGAAUAAAAAACUGAUGGUUGGAAAAUUAAGUUAUGUGGUUUUAAAUAUUGGAGGAGUUGACAGAUAAAGACAAGGCUUGGCUUUAUUUCAAUUUGACAUGCACAGGCUUGGAGCUGGAGUUGAACCGGCGACUUCAGGAUCACAGCGUUUCAGAUGAGGAACAUCCUACAGCCCUCCGCUCUACCAACUGAGCUAUCAGGGUGUUCUCUAGUCACAAUUGCAGAAAACAUAGUGGCUGAGACAACACCCUAUGCCCACACAACUAUUGGAACCCAUAGUCAAUCAAAAGCCCAGCCCUACCUGCAGAACAAAGCUUUGCAGCUUGUACCCAACAGUCAUUGCCAGGGAUCCAGAACUGAUAAUCAAGACUUUUAGGCUGGGUGAAUAAAAAAUUGAUGGUUGGAAAAUUAAGUUAUGUGGUUUUAAAUAUUGGAGGAGUUGACAGAUAAAGACAAGGCUUGGCUUUAUUUCAAUUUGACAUGCACAGGCUUGGAGCUGGAGUUGAACCGGCGACUUCAGGAUCACAGCGUUUCAGAUGAGAAACAUCCUACAGCCCCCGCUCUACCAACUGAGCUAUCAGGGUGUUCUCUAGUCACAAUUGCAGAAAACAUAGUGGCUGAGACAACACCCUAUGCCCACACAACUAUUGGAACCCAUAGUCAAUCAAAAGCCCAGCCCUACCUGCAGAACAAAGCUUUGCAGUUUGUACCCAACAGUCAUUGCCAGGGACCCAGAACUGAUAAUCAAGACUUUUAGGCUGGGUGAAUAAAAAACUGAUGGUUGGAAAAUUAAGUUAUGUUGUUUGUGUUUUUAAAUAUUGGAGGAGUUGACAGAUAAAGACAAGGCUUGGCUUUAUUUCAAUUUUAACAUGCACAGGCUUGGAGCUGGAGUUGAACCAGCGACUUCAGGAUCACAGCGUUUCAGAUGAGGAACAUGCUACAGCCCUCCGCUCUACCAACUGAGCUAUCAGGGUGUUCUCUUGUCACAAUUGCAGAAAACAUAGUGGCUGAGACAACACCCUAUGCCCACACAACUAUUGGAACCCAUAGUCAAUCAAAAGCCCAGCCCUACCUGCAGAACAAAGCUUUGCAGCUUGAACCCAACAGUCAUUGCCAGGGACCCAGAACUGAUAAUCAAGACUUUUAGGCUGGGUGAAUAAAAAACUGAUGGUUGGAAAAUUAAGUUAUGUGGUUUGUGGUUUUAAAUAUUGGAGGAGUUGACAGAUAAAGACAAGGCUUGGCUUUAUUUCAAUUUGACAUGCACAGGCUUGGAGCUGGAGUUGAACCGGCGACUUCAGGAUCACAGCGUUUCAGAUGAGGAACAUCCUACAGCCCUCCGCUCUACCAACUGAGCUAUCAGGGUGUUCUCUAGUCACAAUUGCAGAAAACAUAGUGGCUGAGACAACACCCUAUGCCCACACAACUAUUGGAACCCAUAGUCAAUCAAAAGCCCAGCCCUACCUGCAGAACAAAGCUUUGCAGCUUGUACCCAACAGUCAUUGCCAGGGACCCAGAACUGAUAAUCAAGACUUUUAGGCUGGGUGAAUAAAAAACUGAUGGUUGGAAAAUUAAGUUAUGUGGUUUGUGGUUUUAAAUAUUGGAGGAGUUGACAGAUAAAGACAAGGCUUGGCUUUAUUUCAAUUUGACAUGCACAGGCAUGGAGCUGGAGUUGAAACGGCGACUUCAGGAUCACAGCAUUUCAGAUGAGGAACAUCCUACAGCCCUCCGCUCUACCAACUGAGCUAUCAGGGUGUUCUCUAGUCACAAUUGCAGAAAACAUAGUGGCUGAGACAACACCCUAUGCCCACACAACUAUUGGAACCCAUAGUCAAUCAAAAGCCCAGCCCUACCUGCAGAACAAAGCUUUGCAGUUUGUACCCAACAGUCAUUGCCAGGGACCCAGAACUGAUAAUCAAGACUUUUAGGCUGGGUGAAUAAAAAACUGAUGGUUGGAAAAUUAAGUUAUGUUGUUUGUGUUUUUAAAUAUUGGAGGAGUUGACAGAUAAAGACAAGGCUUGGCUUUAUUUCAAUUUUAACAUGCACAGGCUUGGAGCUGGAGUUGAACCAGCGACUUCAGGAUCACAGCGUUUCAGAUGAGGAACAUCCUACAGCCCUCCGCUCUACCAACUGAGCUAUCAGGGUGUUCUCUAGUCACAAUUGCAGAAAACAUAGUGGCUGAGACAACACCCUAUGCCCACACAACUAUUGGAACCCAUAGUCAAUCAAAAGCCCAGCCCUACCUGCAGAACAAAGCUUUGCAGUUUGUACCCAACAGUCAUUGUCAGGGACCCAGAACUGAUAAUCAAGACUUUUAGGCUGGGUGAAUAAAAAAUUGAUGGUUGGAAAAUUAAGUUAUGUGGUUUGUGGUUUUAAAUAUUGGAGGAGUUGACAGAUAAAGACAAGGCUUGGCUUUAUUUCAAUUUGACAUGCACAGGCUUGGAGCUGGAGUUGAACCGGCGACUUCAGGAUGACAGCGUUUCAGAUGAGGAACAUCCUACAGCCCUCCGCUCUACCAACUGAGCUAUCAGGGUGUUCUCUAGUCACAAUUGCAGAAAACAUAGUGGCUGAGACAACACCCUAUGCCCACACAACUAUUGGAACCCAUAGUCAAUCAAAAGCCCAGCCCUACCUGCAGAACAAAGCUUUGCAGUUUGUACCCAACAGUCAUUGCCAGGGACCCAGAACUGAUAAUCAAGACUUUUAGGCUGGGUGAAUAAAAAAUUGAUGGUUGGAAAAUUAAGUUAUGUGGUUUUAAAUAUUGGAGGAGUUGACAGAUAAAGACAAGGCUUGGCUUUAUUUCAAUUUGACAUGCACAGGCUUGGAGCUGGAGUUGAACCGGAGAUUUCAGGAUGACAGCGUUUCAGAUGAGGAACAUCCUACAGCCCUCCGCUCUACCAACUGAGCUAUCAGGGUGUUCUCUAGUCACAAUUGCAGAAAACAUAGUGGCUGAGACAACACCCUAUGCCCACACAACUAUUGGAACCCAUAGUCAAUCAAAAGCCCAGCCCUACCUGCAGAACAAAGCUUUGCAGUUUGUACCCAACAGUCAUUGCCAGGGACCCAGAACUGAUAAUCAAGACUUUUAGGCUGGGUGAAUAAAAAAUUGAUGGUUGGAAAAUUAAGUUAUGUGGUUUUAAAUAUUGGAGGAGUUGACAGAUAAAGACAAGGCUUGGCUUUAUUUCAAUUUGACAUGCACAGGCUUGGAGCUGGAGUUGAACCGGCGACUUCAGGAUCACAGCGUUUCAGAUGAGGAACAUCCUACAGCCCUCCGCUCUACCAACUGAGCUAUCAGGGUGUUCUCUAAUCACAAUUGCAGAAAACAUAGUGGCUGAGACAACACCCUAUGCCCACACAACUAUUGGAACCCAUAGUCAAUCAAAAGCCCAGCCCUACCUGCAGAACAAAGCUUUGCAGUUUGUACCCAACAGUCAUUGCCAGGGACCCAGAACUGAUAAUCAAGACUUUUAGGCUGGGUUAAUAAAAAAUUGAUGGUUGGAAAAUUAAGUUAUGUGGUUUGUGUUUUUAAAUAUUGGAGGAGUUGACAGAUAAAGACAAGGCUUGGCUUUAUUUCAAUUUGACAUGCACAGGCUUGGAGCUGGAGUUGAACCGGAGAUUUCAGGAUCACAGCGUUUCAGAUGAGGAACAUCCUACAGCCCUCCGCUCUACCAACUAAGCUAUCAGGGUGUUCUCUAGUCACAAUUGCAGAAAACAUAGUGGCUGAUACAACACCCUAUGCCCACACAACUAUUGGAACCCAUAGUCAAUCAAAAGCCCAGCCCUACCUGCAGAACAAAGCUUUGCAGUUUGUACCCAACAGUCAUUGCCAGGGACCCAGAACUGAUAAUCAAGACUUUUAGGCUGGGUUAAUAAAAAAUUGAUGGUUGGAAAAUUAAGUUAUGUGGUUUGUGGUUUUAAAUAUUGGAGGAGUUGACAGAUAAAGACAAGGCUUGGCUUUAUUUCAAUUUGACAUGCACAGGCUUGGAGCUGGAGUUGAACCGGCGACUUCAGGAUCACAGCGUUUCAGAUGAGGAACAUCCUACAGCCCUCCGCUCUACCAACUGAGCUAUCAGGGUGUUCUCUAGUCACAAUUGCAGAAAACAUAGUGGCUGAGACAACACCCUAUGCCCACACAACUAUUGGAACCCAUAGUCAAUCAAAAGCCCAGCCCUACCUGCAGAACAAAGCUUUGCAGUUUGUACCCAACAGUCAUUGCCAAGGACCCAUAACUGAUAAUCAAGACUUUUAGGCUGGGUGAAUAAAAAAUUGAUGCUUGGAAAAUUAAGUUAUGUGGUUUGUGGUUUUAAAUAUUGGAGGAGUUGACAGAUAAAGACAAGGCUUGGCUUUAUUUCAAUUUGACAUGCACAGGCUUGGAGCUGGAGUUGAACCGGCGACUUCAGGAUCACAGCGUUUCAGAUGAGGAACAUCCUACAGCCCUCCACUCUACCAACUGAGCUAUCAGGGUGUUCUCUAGUCACAAUUGCAGAAAACAUAGUGGCUGAGACAACACCCUAUGCCCACACAACUAUUGGAACCCAUAGUCAAUCAAAAGCCCAGCCCUACCUGCAGAACAAAGCUUUGCAGCUUGUACCCAACAGUCAUUGCCAGGGACCCAGAACUGAUAAUCAAGACUUUUAGGCUGGGUGAAUAAAAAACUGAUGGUUGGAAAAUUAAGUUAUGUGGUUUGUGGUUUUAAAUAUUGGAGGAGUUGACAGAUAAAGACAUGGCUUGGCUUUAUUUCAAUUUGACAUGCACAGGCUUGGAGCUGGAGUUGAACCGGCGACUUCAGGAUCACAGCGUUUCAGAUGAGGAACAUCCUACAGCCCUCCGCUCUACCAACUGAGCUAUCAGGGUGUUCUCUAUUCACAAUUGCAGAAAACAUAGUGGCUGAGACAACACCCUAUGCCCACACAACUAUUGGAACCCAUAGUCAAUCAAAAGCCCAGCCCUACCUGCAGAACAAAGCUUUGCAGCUUGUACCCAACAGUCAUUGCCAGGGACCCAGAACUGAUAAUCAAGACUUUUAGGCUGGGUGAAUAAAAAAUUGAUGGUUGGAAAAUUAAGUUAUGUGGUUUGUGGUUUUAAAUAUUGGAGGAGUUGACAGAUAAAGACAAGGCUUGGCUUUAUUUCAAUUUGACAUGCACAGGCUUGGAGCUGGAGUUGAACCGGCGACUUCAGGAUGACAGCGUUUCAGAUGAGGAACAUCCUACAGCCCUCCGCUCUACCAACUGAGCUAUCAGGGUGUUCUCUAGUCACAAUUGCAGAAAACAUAGUGGCUGAGACAACACCCUAUGCCCACACAACUAUUGGAACCCAUAGUCAAUCAAAAGCCCAGCCCUACCUGCAGAACAAAGCUUUGCAGUUUGUACCCAACAGUCAUUGCCAGGGACCCAGAACUGAUAAUCAAGACUUUUAGGCUGGGUGAAUAAAAAACUGAUGGUUGGAAAAUUAAUUUAUGUUGUUUGUGUUUUUAAAUAUUGGAGGAGUUGACAGAUUAAGACAAGGCUUGGCUUUAUUUCAAUUUUAACAUGCACAGGCUUGGAGCUGGAGUUGAACCAGCGACUUCAGGAUCACAGCGUUUCAGAUGAGGAACAUGCUACAGCCCUCCGCUCUACCAACUGAGCUAUCAGGGUGUUCUCUUGUCACAAUUGCAGAAAACAUAGUGGCUGAGACAACACCCUAUGCCCACACAACUAUUGGAACCCAUAGUCAAUCAAAAGCCCAGCCCUACCUGCAGAACAAAGCUUUGCAGCUUGUACCCAACAGUCAUUGCCAGGGACCCAGAACUGAUAAUCAAGACUUUUAGGCUGGGUGAAUAAAAAACUGAUGGUUGGAAAAUUAAGUUAUGUGGUUUGUGGUUUUAAAUAUUGGAGGAGUUGACAGAUAAAGACAAGGCUUGGCUUUAUUUCAAUUUGACAUGCACAGGCUUGGAGCUGGAGUUGAACCGGCGACUUCAGGAUCACAGCGUUUCAGAUGAGGAACAUCCUACAGCCCUCCGCUCUACCAACUGAGCUAUCAGGGUGUUCUCUAGUCACAAUUGCAGAAAACAUAGUGGCUGAGACAACACCCUAUGCCCACACAACUAUUGGAACCCAUAGUCAAUCAAAAGCCCAGCCCUACCUGCAGAACAAAGCUUUGCAGCUUGUACCCAACAGUCAUUGCCAGGGACCCAGAACUGAUAAUCAAGACUUUUAGGCUGGGUGAAUAAAAAAUUGAUGGUUGGAAAAUUAAGUUAUGUGGUUUGUGGUUUUAAAUAUUGGAGGAGUUGACAGAUAAAGACAAGGCUUGGCUUUAUUUCAAUUUGACAUGCACAGGCUUGGAGCUGGAGUUGAACCGGCGACUUCAGGAUGACAGCGUUUCAGAUGAGGAACAUCCUACAGCCCUCCGCUCUACCAACUGAGCUAUCAGGGUGUUCUCUAGUCACAAUUGCAGAAAACAUAGUGGCUGAGACAACACCCUAUGCCCACACAACUAUUGGAACCCAUAGUCAAUCAAAAGCCCAGCCCUACCUGCAGAACAAAGCUUUGCAGUUUGUACCCAACAGUCAUUGCCAGGGACCCAGAACUGAUAAUCAAGACUUUUAGGCUGGGUGAAUAAAAAACUGAUGGUUGGAAAAUUAAUUUAUGUUGUUUGUGUUUUUAAAUAUUGGAGGAGUUGACAGAUUAAGACAAGGCUUGGCUUUAUUUCAAUUUUAACAUGCACAGGCUUGGAGCUGGAGCUGAACCAGCGACUUCAGGAUCACAGCGUUUCAGAUGAGGAACAUGCUACAGCCCUCCGCUCUACCAACUGAGCUAUCAGGGUGUUCUCUUGUCACAAUUGCAGAAAACAUAGUGGCUGAGACAACACCCUAUGCCCACACAACUAUUGGAACCCAUAGUCAAUCAAAAGCCCAGCCCUACCUGCAGAACAAAGCUUUGCAGCUUGUACCCAACAGUCAUUGCCAGGGACCCAGAACUGAUAAUCAAGACUUUUAGGCUGGGUGAAUAAAAAACUGAUGGUUGGAAAAUUAAGUUAUGUGGUUUGUGGUUUUAAAUAUUGGAGGAGUUGACAGAUAAAGACAAGGCUUGGCUUUAUUUCAAUUUGACAUGCACAGGCUUGGAGCUGGAGUUGAACCGGCGACUUCAGGAUCACAGCGUUUCAGAUGAGGAAUAUCCUACAGCCCUCCGCUCUACCAACUGAGCUAUCAGGGUGUUCUCUAGUCACAAUUGCAGAAAACAUAGUGGCUGAGACAACACCCUAUGCCCACACAACUAUUGGAACCCAUAGUCAAUCAAAAGCCCAGCCCUACCUGCAGAACAAAGCUUUGCACUUUGUACCCAACAGUCAUUGCCAGGGACCCAGAACUGAUAAUCAAGACUUUUAGGCUGGUUGAAUAAAAAAUUGAUGGUUGGAAAAUUAAGUUAUGUGGUUUUAAAUAUUGGAGGAGUUGACAGAUAAAGACAAGGCUUGGCUUUAUUUCAAUUUGACAUGAACAGGCUUGGAGCAGGAGUUGAACCGGUGACUUCAGGAUCACAGCGUUUCAGAUGAGGAACAUCCUACAGCCCUCCGCUCUACCAACUGAGCUAUCAGGGUGUUCUCUAGUCACAAUUGCAGAAAACAUAGUGGCUGAGACAACACCCUAUGCCCACACAACUAUUGGAACCCAUAGUCAAUCAAAAGCCCAGCCCUACCUGCAGAACAAAGCUUUGCAGUUUGUACCCAACAGUCAUUGCCAGGGACCCAGAACUGAUAAUCAAGACUUUUAGGCUGGGUGAAUAAAAAAUUGAUGGUUGGAAAAUUAAGUUAUGUGGUUUGUGUUUUUAAAUAUUGGAGGAGUUGACAGAUAAAGACAAGGCUUGGCUUUAUUUCAAUUUGACAUGCACAGGCUUGGAGCUGGAGUUGAACCGGCGACUUCAGGAUCACAGCGUUUCAGAUGAGGAACAUCCUACAGCCCUCCGCUCUACCAACUGAGCUAUCAGGGUGUUCUCUAGUCACGAUUGCAGAAAACAUAGUGGCUGAGACAACACCCUAUGCCCACACAACUAUUGGAACCCAUAGUCAAUCAAAAGCCCAGCCCUACCUGCAGAACAAAGCUUUGCAGUUUGUACCCAACAGUCAUUGCCAGGGACCCAGAACUGAUAAUCAAGACUUUUAGGCUGGGUGAAUAAAAAACUGAUGGUUGGAAAAUUAAGUUAUGUUGUUUGUGUUUUUAAAUAUUGGAGGAGUUGACAGAUAAAGACAAGGCUUGGCUUUAUUUCAAUUUUAACAUGCACAGGCUUGGAGCUGGAGUUGAACCAGCGUUUCAGAUGAGGAACAUCCUACAGCCCUCCGCUCUACCAACUGAGCUAUCAGGGUGUUCUCUAGUCACAAUUGCAGAAAACAUAGUGGCUGAGACAACACCCUAUGCCCACAUAACUAUUGGAACCCAUAGUCAAUCAAAAGCCCAGCCCUACCUGCAGAACAAAGCUUUGCAGCUUGUACCCAACAGUCAUUGCCAGGGACCCAGAACUGAUAAUCAAGACUUUUAGGCUGGGUGAAUAAAAAACUGAUGGUUGGAAAAUUAAGUUAUGUGGUUUGUGGUUUUAAAUAUUGGAGGAGUUGACAGAUAAAGACAAGGCUUGGCUUUAUUUCAAUUUGACAUGCACAGGCUUGGAGCUGGAGUUGAACCGGCGACUUCAGGAUCACAGCGUUUCAGAUGAGGAACAUCCUACAGCCCUCCGCUCUACCAACUGAGCUAUCAGGGUGUUCUCUAGUCACAAUUGCAGAAAACAUAGUGGCUGAGACAACACCCUAUGCCCACACAAAUAUUGGAACCCAUAGUCAAUCAAAAGCCCAGCCCUACCUGCAGAACAAAGCUUUGCAGCUUGUACCCAACAGUCAUUGCCAGGGACCCAGAACUGAUAAUCAAGACUUUUAGGCUGGGUGAAUAAAAAACUGAUGGUUGGAAAAUUAAGUUAUGUGGUUUGUGGUUUUAAAUAUUGGAGGAGUUGACAGAUAAAGACAAGGCUUGGCUUUAUUUCAAUUUGACAUGCACAGGCUUGGAGCUGGAGUUGAACCGGCGACUUCAGGAACACAGCGUUUCAGAUGAGGAACAUCCUACAGCCCUCCGCUCUACCAACUGAGCUAUCAGGGUGUUCUCUAGUCACAAUUGCAGAAAACAUAGUGGCUGAGACAACACCCUAUGCCCACACAACUAUUGGAACCCAUAGUCAAUCAAAAGCCCAGCCCUACCUGCAGAACAAAGCUUUGCAGCUUGUACCCAACAGUCAUUGCCAGGGACCCAGAACUGAUAAUCAAGACUUUUAGGCUGGGUGAAUAAAAAAUUGAUGCUUGGAAAAUUAAGUUAUGUGGUUUGUGGUUUUAAAUAUUGGAGGAGUUGACAGAUAAAGACAAGGCUUGGCUUUAUUUCAAUUUGACAUGCACAGGCUUGGAGCUGGAGUUGAACCGGCGACUUCAGGAUCACAGCGUUUCAGAUGAGGAACAUCCUACAGCCCUCCGCUCUACCAACUGAGCUAUCAGGGUGUUCUCUAGUCACAAUUGCAGAAAACAUAGUGGCUGAGACAACACCCUAUGCCCACACAACUAUUGGAACCCAUAGUCAAUCAAAAGCCCAGCCCUACCUGCAGAACAAAGCUUUGCAGUUUGUACCCAACAGUCAUUGCCAGGGACCCAGAACUGAUAAUCAAGACUUUUAGGCUGGGUGAAUAAAAAAUUGAUGGUUGGAAAAUUAAGUUAUGUGGUUUUAAAUAUUGGAGGAGUUGACAGAUAAAGACAAGGCUUGGCUUUAUUUCAAUUUGACAUGCACAGGCUUGGAGCUGGAGUUGAACCGGCGACUUCAGGAUAACAGCGUUUCAGAUGAGGAACAUCCUACAGCCCUCCGCUCUACCAACUGAGCUAUCAGGGUGUUCUCUAGUCACAAUUGCAGAAAACAUAGUGGCUGAGACAACACCCUAUGCCCACACAACUAUUGGAACCCAUAGUCAAUCAAAAGCCCAGCCCUACCUGCAGAACAAAGCUUUGCAGUUUGUACCCAACAGUCAUUGCCAGGGACCCAGAACUGAUAAUCAAGACUUUUAGGCUGGGUGAAUAAAAAACUGAUGGUUGGAAAAUUAAGUUAUGUUGUUUGUGUUUUUAAAUAUUGGAGGAGUUGACAGAUAAAGACAAGGCUUGGCUUUAUUUCAAUUUUAACAUGCACAGGCUUGGAGCUGGAGUUGAACCAGCGUUUCAGAUGAGGAACAUCCUACAGCCCUCCGCUCUACCAACUGAGCUAUCAGGGUGUUCUCUAGUCACAAUUGCAGAAAACAUAGUGGCUGAGACAACACCCUAUGCCCACAUAACUAUUGGAACCCAUAGUCAAUCAAAAGCCCAGCCCUACCUGCAGAACAAAGCUUUGCAGCUUGUACCCAACAGUCAUUGCCAGGGACCCAGAACUGAUAAUCAAGACUUUUAGGCUGGGUGAAUAAAAAACUGAUGGUUGGAAAAUUAAGUUAUGUGGUUUGUGGUUUUAAAUAUUGGAGGAGUUGACAGAUAAAGACAAGGCUUGGCUUUAUUUCAAUUUGACAUGCACAGGCUUGGAGCUGGAGUUGAACCGGCGACUUCAGGAUCACAGCGUUUCAGAUGAGGAACAUCCUACAGCCCUCCGCUCUACCAACUGAGCUAUCAGGGUGUUCUCUAGUCACAAUUGCAGAAAACAUAGUGGCUGAGACAACACCCUAUGCCCACACAAAUAUUGGAACCCAUAGUCAAUCAAAAGCCCAGCCCUACCUGCAGAACAAAGCUUUGCAGCUUGUACCCAACAGUCAUUGCCAGGGACCCAGAACUGAUAAUCAAGACUUUUAGGCUGGGUGAAUAAAAAACUGAUGGUUGGAAAAUUAAGUUAUGUGGUUUGUGGUUUUAAAUAUUGGAGGAGUUGACAGAUAAAGACAAGGCUUGGCUUUAUUUCAAUUUGACAUGCACAGGCUUGGAGCUGGAGUUGAACCGGCGACUUCAGGAUCACAGCGUUUCAGAUGAGGAACAUCCUACAGCCCUCCGCUCUACCAACUGAGCUAUCAGGGUGUUCUCUAGUCACAAUUGCAGAAAACAUAGUGGCUGAGACAACACCCUAUGCCCACACAACUAUUGGAACCCAUAGUCAAUCAAAAGCCCAGCCCUACCUGCAGAACAAAGCUUUGCAGCUUGUACCCAACAGUCAUUGCCAGGGACCCAGAACUGAUAAUCAAGACUUUUAGGCUGGGUGAAUAAAAAACUGAUGGUUGGAAAAUUAAGUUAUGUGGUUUGUGGUUUUAAAUAUUGGAGGAGUUGACAGAUAAAGACAAGGCUUGGCUUUAUUUCAAUUUGACAUGCACAGGCUUGGAGCUGGAGUUGAACCGGCGACUUCAGGAUCACAGCGUUUCAGAUGAGGAACAUCCUACAGGCCUCCGCUCUACCAACUGAGCUAUCAGGGUGUUCUCUAGUCACAAUUGCAGAAAACAUAGUGGCUGAGACAACACCCUAUGCCCACACAACUAUUGGAACCCAUAGUCAAUCAAAAGCCCAGCCCUACCUGCAGAACAAAGCUUUGCAGUUUGUACCCAACAGUCAUUGCCAGGGACCCAGAACUGAUAAUCAAGACUUUUAGGCUGGGUGAAUAAAAAAUUGAUGGUUGGAAAAUUAAGUUAUGUGUUUUUAAAUAUUGGAGGAGUUGACAGAUAAACACAAGGCUUGGCUUUAUUUCAAUUUGACAUGUACAGGCUUGGAGCUGGAGUUGAACCGGCGACUUCAGGAUCACAGCGUUUCAGAUGAGAAACAUCCUACAGCCCUCCGCUCUACCAACUGAGCUAUCAGGGUGUUCUCUAGUCACAAUUGCAGAAAACAUAGUGGCUGAGACAACACCCUAUGCCCACACAACUAUUGGAACCCAUAGUCAAUCAAAAGCCCAGCCCUACCUGCAGAACAAAGCUUUGCAGUUUGUACCCAACAGUCAUUGCCAGGGACCCAGAACUGAUAAUCAAGACUUUUAGGCUGGGUGAAUAAAAAAUUGAUGGUUGGAAAAUUAAGUUAUGUGGUUUGUGUUUUUAAAUAUUGGAGGAGUUGACAGAUAAAGACAAGGCUUGGCUUUAUUUCAAUUUGACAUGCACAGGCUUGGAGCUGGAGUUGAACCGGCGACUUCAGGAUCACAGCGUUUCAGAUGAGGAACAUCCUACAGGCCUCCGCUCUACCAACUGAGCUAUCAGGGUGUUCUCUAGUCACAAUUGCAGAAAACAUAGUGCCUGAGACAACACCCUAUGCCCACACAACUAUUGGAACCCAUAGUCAAUCAAAAGCCCAGCCCUACCUGCAGAACAAAGCUUUGCAGCUUGUACCCAACAGUCAUUGCCAGGGACCCAGAACUGAUAAUCAAGACUUUUAGGCUGGGUGAAUAAAAAACUGAUGGUUGGAAAAUUAAGUUAUGUGGUUUGUGGUUUUAAAUAUUGGAGGAGUUGACAGAUAAAGACAAGGCUUGGCUUUAUUUCAAUUUGACAUGCACAGGCUUGGAGCUGGAGUUGAACCGGCGACUUCAGGAUCACAGCGUUUCAGAUGAGGAACAUCCUACAGCCCUGGGCUGUACCAACUGAGCUAUCAGGGUGUUCUCUAGUCACAAUUGCAGAAAACAUAGUGGCUGAGACAACACCCUAUGCCCACACAACUAUUGGAACCCAUAGUCAAUCAAAAGCCCAGCCCUACCUGCAGAACAAAGCUUUGCAGUUUGUACCCAACAGUCAUUGCCAGGGACCCAUAACUGAUAAUCAAGACUUUUAGGCUGGGUGAAUAAAAAAUUGAUGGUUGGAAAAUUAAGUUAUGUGUUUUUAAAUAUUGGAGGAGUUGACAGAUAAAGACAAGGCUUGGCUUUAUUUCAAUUUGACAUGCACAGGCUUGGAGCUGGAGUUGAACCGGCGACUUCAGGAUCAAAGCGUUUCAGAUGAGAAACAUCCUACAGCCCUCCGCUCUACCAACUGAGCUAUCAGGGUGUUCUCUAGUCACAAUUGCAGAAAACAUAGUGGCUGAGACAACACCCUAUGCCCACACAACUAUUGGAACCCAUAGUCAAUCAAAAGCCCAGCCCUACCUGCAGAACAAAGCUUUGCAGCUUGUACCCAACAGUCAUUGCCAGGGACCCAUAACUGAUAAUCAAGACUUUGAGGCUGGGUGAAUAAAAAAUUGAUGGUUGGAAAAUUAAGUUAUGUGGUUUGUGUUUUUAAAUAUUGGAGGAGUUGACAGAUAAAGACAAGGCUUGGGUUUAUUUCAAUUUGACAUGCACAGGCUUGGAGCUGGAGUUGAACCGGCGACUUCAGGAUCACAGCGUUUCAGAUGAGGAACAUCCUACAGUCGUCCGCUCUACCAACUGAGCUAUCAGGGUGUUCUCUAGUCACAAUUGCAGAAAACAUAGUGGCUGAGACAACACCCUAUGCCCACACAACUAUUGUAACCCAUAGUCAAUCAAAAGCCCAGCCCUACCUGCAGAACAAAGCUUUGCAGCUUGUACCCAACAGUCAUUGCCAGGGACCCAGAACUGAUAAUCAAGACUUUUAGGCUGGGUGAAUAAAAAAUUGAUGGUUGGAAAAUUAAGUUAUGUGUUUUUAAAUAUUGGAGGAGUUGACAGAUAAAGACAAGGCUUGGCUUUAUUUCAAUUUGACAUGCACAGGCUUGGAGCUGGAGUUGAACCGGCGACUUCAGGAUCACAGCGUUUCAGAUGAGAAACAUCCUACAGCCCUCCGCUCUACCAACUGAGCUAUCAGGGUGUUCUCUAGUCACAAUUGCAGAAAACAUAGUGGCUGAGACAACACCCUAUGCCCACACAACUAUUGGAACCCAUAGUCAAUCAAAAGCCCAGCCCUAGCUGCAGAACAAAGCUUUGCAGCUUGUACCCAACAGUCAUUGCCAGGGACCCAGAACUGAUAAUCAAGACUUUUAGGCUGGGUGAAUAAAAAACUGAUGGUUGGAAAAUUAAGUUAUGUGGUUUGUGGUUUUAAAUAUUGGAGGAGUUGACAGAUAAAGACAAGGCUUGGCUUUAUUUCAAUUUGAGAUGCACAGGCUUGGAGCUGGAGUUGAACCGGCGACUUCAGGAUCACAGCGUUUCAGAUGAGGAACAUCCUACAGCCCUCCGCUCUACCAACUGAGCUAUCAGGGUGUUCUCUAGUCACAAUUGCAGAAAACAUAGUGGCUGAGACAACACCCUAUGCCCACACAACUAUUGGAACCCAUAGUCAAUCAAAAGCCCAGCCCUACCUGCAGAACAAAGCUUUGCAGCUUGUACCCAACAGUCAUUGCCAGGGACCCAGAACUGAUAAUCAAGACUUUUAGGCUGGGUGAAUAAAAAAUUGAUGGUUGGAAAAUUAAGUUAUGUGGUUUGUGGUUUUAAAUAUUGGAGGAGUUGACAGAUAAAGACAAGGCUUGGCUUUAUUUCAAUUUGACAUGCACAGGCUUGGAGCUGGAGUUGAACCGGCGACUUCAGGAUGACAGCGUUUCAGAUGAGGAACAUCCUACAGCCCUCCGCUCUACCAACUGAGCUAUCAGGGUGUUCUCUAGUCACAAUUGCAGAAAACAUAGUGGCUGAGACAACACCCUAUGCCCACACAACUAUUGGAACCCAUAGUCAAUCAAAAGCCCAGCCCUACCUGCAGAACAAAGCUUUGCAGUUUGUACCCAACAGUCAUUGCCAGGGACCCAGAACUGAUAAUCAAGACUUUUAGGCUGGGUGAAUAAAAAACUGAUGGUUGGAAAAUUAAUUUAUGUUGUUUGUGUUUUUAAAUAUUGGAGGAGUUGACAGAUUAAGACAAGGCUUGGCUUUAUUUCAAUUUUAACAUGCACAGGCUUGGAGCUGGAGUUGAACCAGCGACUUCAGGAUCACAGCGUUUCAGAUGAGGAACAUGCUACAGCCCUCCGCUCUACCAACUGAGCUAUCAGGGUGUUCUCUUGUCACAAUUGCAGAAAACAUAGUGGCUGAGACAACACCCUAUGCCCACACAACUAUUGGAACCCAUAGUCAAUCAAAAGCCCAGCCCUACCUGCAGAACAAAGCUUUGCAGCUUGUACCCAACAGUCAUUGCCAGGGACCCAGAACUGAUAAUCAAGACUUUUAGGCUGGGUGAAUAAAAAACUGAUGGUUGGAAAAUUAAGUUAUGUGGUUUGUGGUUUUAAAUAUUGGAGGAGUUGACAGAUAAAGACAAGGCUUGGCUUUAUUUCAAUUUGACAUGCACAGGCUUGGAGCUGGAGUUGAACAGGCGACUUCAGGAUCACAGCGUUUCAGAUGAGGAACAUCCUACAGCCCUCCGCUCUACCAACUGAGCUAUCAGGGUGUUCUCUAGUCACAAUUGCAGAAAACAUAGUGGCUGAGACAACACCCUAUGCCCACACAACUAUUGGAACCCAUAGUCAAUCAAAAGCCCAGCCCUACCUGCAGAACAAAGCUUUGCAGCUUGUACCCAACAGUCAUUGCCAGGGACCCAGAACUGAUAAUCAAGACUUUUAGGCUGGGUGAAUAAAAAACUGAUGGUUGGAAAAUUAAUUUAUGUUGUUUGUGUUUUUAAAUAUUGGAGGAGUUGACAGAUAAAGACAAGGCUUGGCUUUAUUUCAAUUUUAACAUGCACAGGCUUGGAGCUGGAGUUGAACCAGCGACUUCAGGAUCACAGCGUUUCAGAUGAGGAACAUGCUACAGCCCUCCGCUCUACCAACUGAGCUAUCAGGGUGUUCUCUAGUCACAAUUGCAGAAAACAUAGUGGCUGAGACAACACCCUAUGCCCACACAUUUAUUGGAACCCAUAGUCAAUCAAAAGCCCAGCCCUACCUGCAGAACAAAGCUUUGCAGCUUGUACCCAACAGUCAUUGCCAGGGACCCAGAACUGAUAAUCAAGACUUUUAGGCUGGGUGAAUAAAAAACUGAUGGUUGGAAAAUUAAGUUAUGUGGUUUUAAAUAUUGGAGGAGUUGACAGAGAAAGACAAGGCUUGGCUUUAUUUCAAUUUGACAUGCACAGGCUUGGAGCUGGAGUUGAACCGGCGACUUCAGGAUCACAGCGUUUCAGAUGAGGAACAUCCUAGAGCCCUCCGCUCUACCAACUGAGCUAUCAGGGUGUUCUCUAGUCACAAUUGCAGAAAACAUAGUGGCUGAGACAACACCCUAUGCCCACACAACUAUUGGAACCCAUAGUCAAUCAAAAGCCCAGCCCUACCUGCAGAACAAAGCUUUGCAGUUUGUACCCAACAGUCAUUGCCAGGGACCCAGAACUGAUAAUCAAGACUUUUAGGCUGGUUGAAUAAAAAAUUGAUGGUUGGAAAAUUAAGUUAUGUGGUUUUAAAUAUUGGAGGAGUUGACAGAUAAAGACAAGGCUUGGCUUUAUUUCAAUUUGACAUGCACAGGCUUGGAGCUGGAGUUGAACCGGCGACUUCAGGAUCACAGCGUUUCAGAUGAGGAACAUCCUACAGCCCUCCGCUCUACCAACUGGGCUAUCAGGGUGUUCUCUAGUCACAAUUGCAGAAAACAUAGUGGCUGAGACAACACCCUAUGCCCACACAACUAUUGGAACCCAUAGUCAAUCAAAAGCCCAGCCCUACCUGCAGAACAAAGCUUUGCAGUUUGUACCCAACAGUCAUUGCCAGGGACCCAGAACUGAUAAUCAAGACUUUUAGGCUGGGUGAAUAAAAAAUUGAUGGUUGGAAAAUUAAGUUAUGUGGUUUGUGUUUUUAAAUAUUGGAGGAGUUGACAGAUAAAGACAAGGCUUGGCUUUAUUUCAAUUUGACAUGCACAGGCUUGGAGCUGGAGUUGAACCGGCGACUUCAGGAUCACAGCGUUUCAGAUGAGGAACAUCCUAGAGCCCUCCGCUCUACCAACUGAGCUAUCAGGGUGUUCUCUAGUCACAAUUGCAGAAAACAUAGUGGCUGAGACAACACCCUAUGCCCACACAACUAUUGGAACCCAUAGUCAAUCAAAAGCCCAGCCCUACCUGCAGAACAAAGCUUUGCAGUUUGUACCCAACAGUCAUUGCCAGGGACCCAGAACUGAUAAUCAAGACUUUUAGGCUGGGUGAAUAAAAAACUGAUGGUUGGAAAAUUAAGUUAUGUUGUUUGUGUUUUUAAAUAUUGGAGGAGUAACAGAUAAAGACAAGGCUUGGCUUUAUUUCAAUUUUAACAUGCACAGGCUUGGAGCUGGAGUUGAACCAGCGUUUCAGAUGAGGAACAUCCUACAGCCCUCCGCUCUACCAACUGAGCUAUCAGGGUGUUCUCUAGUCACAAUUGCAGAAAACAUAGUGGCUGAGACAACACCCUAUGCCCACACAACUAUUGGAACCCAUAGUCAAUCAAAAGCCCAGCCCUACCUGCAGAACAAAGCUUUGCAGCUUGUACCCAACAGUCAUUGCCAGGGACCCAGAACUGAUAAUCAAGACUUUUAGGCUGGGUGAAUAAAAAAUUGAUGGUUGGAAAAUUAAGUUAUGUGGUUUGUGGUUUUAAAUAUUGGAGGAGUUGACAGAUAAAGACAAGGCUUGGCUUUAUUUCAAUUUGACAUGCACAGGCUUGGAGCUGGAGUUGAACCGGCGACUUCAGGAUCACAGCGUUUCAGAUGAGGAACAUCCUACAGCCCUCCGCUCUACCAACUGAGCUAUCAGGGUGUUCUCUAGUCACAAUUGCAGAAAACAUAGUGGCUGAGACAACACCCUAUGCCCACACAACUAUUGGAACCCAUAGUCAAUCAAAAGCCCAGCCCUACCUGCAGAACAAAGCUUUGCAGUUUGUACCCAACAGUCAUUGCCAGGGACCCAGAACUGAUAAUCAAGACUUUUAGGCUGGGUGAAUAAAAAACUGAUGGUUGGAAAAUUAAUUUAUGUUGUUUGUGUUUUUAAAUAUUGGAGGAGUUGACAGAUUAAGACAAGGCUUGGCUUUAUUUCAAUUUUAACAUGCACAGGCUUGGAGCUGGAGUUGAACCAGCGACUUCAGGAUCACAGCGUUUCAGAUGAGGAACAUGCUACAGCCCUCCGCUCUACCAACUGAGCUAUCAGGGUGUUCUCUUGUCACAAUUGCAGAAAACAUAGUGGCUGAGACAACACCCUAUGCCCACACAACUAUUGGAACCCAUAGUCAAUCAAAAGCCCAGCCCUAGCUGCAGAACAAAGCUUUGCAGCUUGUACCCAACAGUCAUUGCCAGGGACCCAGAACUGAUAAUCAAGACUUUUAGGCUGGGUGAAUAAAAAACUGAUGGUUGGAAAAUUAAGUUAUGUGGUUUGUGGUUUUAAAUAUUGGAGGAGUUGACAGAUAAAGACAAGGCUUGGCUUUAUUUCAAUUUGACAUGCACAGGCUUGGAGCUGGAGUUGAACAGGCGACUUCAGGAUCACAGCGUUUCAGAUGAGGAACAUCCUACAGCCCUCCGCUCUACCAACUGAGCUAUCAGGGUGUUCUCUAGUCACAAUUGCAGAAAACAUAGUGGCUGAGACAACACCCUAUGCCCACACAACUAUUGGAACCCAUAGUCAAUCAAAAGCCCAGCCCUACCUGCAGAACAAAGCUUUGCAGCUUGUACCCAACAGUCAUUGCCAGGGACCCAGAACUGAUAAUCAAGACUUUUAGGCUGGGUGAAUAAAAAACUGAUGGUUGGAAAAUUAAUUUAUGUUGUUUGUGUUUUUAAAUAUUGGAGGAGUUGACAGAUAAAGACAAGGCUUGGCUUUAUUUCAAUUUUACAUGCACAGGCUUGGAGCUGGAGUUGAACCAGCGACUUCAGGAUCACAGCGUUUCAGAUGAGGAACAUCCUACAGCCCUCCGCUCUACCAACUGAGCUAUCAGGGUGUUCUCUAGUCACAAUUGCAGAAAACAUAGUGGCUGAGACAACACCCUAUGCCCACACAUUUAUUGGAACCCAUAGUCAAUCAAAAGCCCAGCCCUACCUGCAGAACAAAGCUUUGCAGCUUGUACCCAACAGUCAUUGCCAGGGACCCAGAACUGAUAAUCAAGACUUUUAGGCUGGGUGAAUAAAAAACUGAUGGUUGGAAAAUUAAGUUAUGUGGUUUUAAAUAUUGGAGGAGUUGACAGAGAAAGACAAGGCUUGGCUUUAUUUCAAUUUGACAUGCACAGGCUUGGAGCUGGAGUUGAACCGGCGACUUCAGGAUCACAGCGUUUCAGAUGAGGAACAUCCUACAGCCCUCCGCUCUACCAACUGAGCUAUCAGGGUGUUCUCUAGUCACAAUUGCAGAAAACAUAGUGGCUGAGACAACACCCUAUGCCCACACAACUAUUGGAACCCAUAGUCAAUCAAAAGCCCAGCCCUACCUGCAGAACAAAGCUUUGCAGCUUGUACCCAACAGUCAUUGCCAGGGACCCAGAACUGAUAAUCAAGACUUUUAGGCUGGGUGAAUAAAAAAUUGAUGGUUGGAAAAUUAAGUUAUGUGGUUUGUGGUUUUAAAUAUUGGAGGAGUUGACAGAUAAAGACAAGGCUUGGCUUUAUUUCAAUUUGACAUGCACAGGCUUGGAGCUGGAGUUGAACCGGCGACUUCAGGAUGACAGCGUUUCAGAUGAGGAACAUCCUACAGCCCUCCGCUCUACCAACUGAGCUAUCAGGGUGUUCUCUAGUCACAAUUGCAGAAAACAUAGUGGCUGAGACAACACCCUAUGCCCACACAACUAUUGGAACCCAUAGUCAAUCAAAAGCCCAGCCCUACCUGCAGAACAAAGCUUUGCAGUUUGUACCCAACAGUCAUUGCCAGGGACCCAGAACUGAUAAUCAAGACUUUUAGGCUGGGUGAAUAAAAAACUGAUGGUUGGAAAAUUAAUUUAUGUUGUUUGUGUUUUUAAAUAUUGGAGGAGUUGACAGAUUAAGACAAGGCUUGGCUUUAUUUCAAUUUUAACAUGCACAGGCUUGGAGCUGGAGUUGAACCAGCGACUUCAGGAUCACAGCGUUUCAGAUGAGGAACAUGCUACAGCCCUCCGCUCUACCAACUGAGCUAUCAGGGUGUUCUCUUGUCACAAUUGCAGAAAACAUAGUGGCUGAGACAACACCCUACCCUAUGCCCACACAACUAUUGGAACCCAUAGUCAAUCAAAAGCCCAGCCCUACCUGCAGAACAAAGCUUUGCAGCUUGUACCCAACAGUCAUUGCCAGGGACCCAGAACUGAUAAUCAAGACUUUUAGGCUGGGUGAAUAAAAAACUGAUGGUUGGAAAAUUAAGUUAUGUGGUUUGUGGUUUUAAAUAUUGGAGGAGUUGACAGAUAAAGACAAGGCUUGGCUUUAUUUCAAUUUGACAUGCACAGGCUUGGAGCUGGAGUUGAACAGGCGACUUCAGGAUCACAGCGUUUCAGAUGAGGAACAUCCUACAGCCCUCCGCUCUACCAACUGAGCUAUCAGGGUGUUCUCUAGUCACAAUUGCAGAAAACAUAGUGGCUGAGACAACACCCUAUGCCCACACAACUAUUGGAACCCAUAGUCAAUCAAAAGCCCAGCCCUACCUGCAGAACAAAGCUUUGCAGUUUGUACCCAACAGUCACAUUGCCAGGGACCCAGAACUGAUAAUCAAGACUUUUAGGCUGGGUGAAUAAAAAACUGAUGGUUGGAAAAUUAAUUUAUGUUGUUUGUGUUUUUAAAUAUUGGAGGAGUUGACAGAUAAAGACAAGGCUUGGCUUUAUUUCAAUUUUAACAUGCACAGGCUUGGAGCUGGAGUUGAACCAGCGACUUCAGGAUCACAGCGUUUCAGAUGAGGAACAUGCUACAGCCCUCCGCUCUACCAACUGAGCUAUCAGGGUGUUCUCUAGUCACAAUUGCAGAAAACAUAGUGGCUGAGACAACACCCUAUGCCCACACAUUUAUUGGAACCCAUAGUCAAUCAAAAGCCCAGCCCUACCUGCAGAACAAAGCUUUGCAGCUUGUACCCAACAGUCAUUGCCAGGGACCCAGAACUGAUAAUCAAGACUUUUAGGCUGGGUGAAUAAAAAAUUGAUGGUUGGAAAAUUAAGUUAUGUGUUUUUAAAUAUUGGAGGAGUUGACAGAUAAAGACAAGGCUUGGCUUUAUUUCAAUUUGACAUGCACAGGCUUGGAGCUGGAGUUGAACCGGCGACUUCAGGAUCACAGCGUUUCAGAUGAGGAACAUCCUACAGGCCUCCGCUCUACCAACUGAGCUAUCAGGGUGUUCUCUAGUCACAAUUGCAGAAAACAUAGUGCCUGAGACAACACCCUAUGCCCACACAACUAUUGGAACCCAUAGUCAAUCAAAAGCCCAGCCCUACCUGCAGAACAAAGCUUUGCAGCUUGUACCCAACAGUCAUUGCCAGGGACCCAGAACUGAUAAUCAAGACUUUUAGGCUGGGUGAAUAAAAAACUGAUGGUUGGAAAAUUAAGUUAUGUGGUUUGUGGUUUUAAAUAUUGGAGGAGUUGACAGAUAAAGACAAGGCUUGGCUUUAUUUCAAUUUGACAUGCACAGGCUUGGAGCUGGAGUUGAACCGGCGACUUCAGGAUCACAGCGUUUCAGAUGAGGAACAUCCUACAGCCCUGGGCUGUACCAACUGAGCUAUCAGGGUGUUCUCUAGUCACAAUUGCAGAAAACAUAGUGGCUGAGACAACACCCUAUGCCCACACAACUAUUGGAACCCAUAGUCAAUCAAAAGCCCAGCCCUACCUGCAGAACAAAGCUUUGCAGCUUGUACCCAACAGUCAUUGCCAGGGACCCAUAACUGAUAAUCAAGACUUUUAGGCUGGGUGAAUAAAAAAUUGAUGGUUGGAAAAUUAAGUUAUGUGUUGGUUUUUUAAAUAUUGGAGGAGUUGACAGAUAAAGACAAGGCUUGGCUUUAUUUCAAUUUGACAUGCACAGGCUUGGAGCUGGAGUUGAACCGGCGACUUCAGGAUCACAGCGUUUCAGAUGAGAACAUCCUACAGCCCUCCGCUCUACCAACUGAGCUAUCAGGGUGUUCUCUAGUCACAAUUGCAGAAAACAUAGUGGCUGAGACAACACCCUAUGCCCACACAACUAUUGGAACCCAUAGUCAAUCAAAAGCCCAGCCCUACCUGCAGAACAAAGCUUUGCAGCUUGUACCCAACAGUCAUUGCCAGGGACCCAUAACUGAUAAUCAAGACUUUGAGGCUGGGUGAAUAAAAAAUUGAUGGUUGGAAAAUUAAGUUAUGUGGUUUGUGUUUUUAAAUAUUGGAGGAGUUGACAGAUAAAGACAAGGCUUGGCUUUAUUUCAAUUUGACAUGCACAGGCUUGGAGCUGGAGUUGAACCGGCGACUUCAGGAUCACAGCGUUUCAGAUGAGGAACAUCCUACAGGCCUCCGCUCUACCAACUGAGCUAUCAGGGUGUUCUCUAGUCACAAUUGCAGAAAACAUAGUGCCUGAGACAACACCCUAUGCCCACACAACUAUUGGAACCCAUAGUCAAUCAAAAGCCCAGCCCUACCUGCAGAACAAAGCUUUGCAGUUUGUACCCAACAGUCAUUGCCAGGGACCCAGAACUGAUAAUCAAGACUUUUAGGCUGGGUGAAUAAAAAACUGAUGGUUGGAAAAUUAAGUUAUGUUGUUUGUGUUUUUAAAUAUUGGAGGAGUUGACAGAUAAAGACAAGGCUUGGCUUUAUUUCAAUUUUAACAUGCACAGGCUUGGAGCUGGAGUUGAACCAGCGACUUCAGGAUCACAGCGUUUCAGAUGAGGAACAUGCUACAGCCCUCCGCUCUACCAACUGAGCUAUCAGGGUGUUCUCUAGUCACAAUUGCAGAAAACAUAGUGGCUGAGACAACACCCUAUGCCCACACAAAUAUUGGAACCCAUAGUCAAUCAAAAGCCCAGCCCUACCUGCAGAACAAAGCUUUGCAGUUUGUACCCAACAGUCAUUGCCAGGGACCCAGAACUGAUAAUCAAGACUUUUAGGCUGGGUGAAUAAAAAAUUGAUGGUUGGAAAAUUAAGUUAUGUGUUUUUAAAUAUUGGAGGAGUUGACAGAUAAAGACAAGGCUUGGCUUUAUUUCAAUUUGACAUGGACAGGCUUGGAGCUGGAGUUGAACCGGCGACUUCAGGAUCAGAGCGUUUCAGAUGAGGAACAUCCUACAGCCCUCCGCUCUACCAACUGAGCUAUCAGGGUGUUCUCUAGUCACAAUUGCAGAAAACAUAGUGGCUGAGACAACACCCUAUGCCCACACAACUAUUGGAACCCAUAGUCAAUCAAAAGCCCAGCCCUACCUGCAGAACAAAGCUUUGCAGUUUGUACCCAACAGUCAUUGCCAGGGACCCAGAACUGAUAAUCAAGACUUUGAGGCUGGGUGAAUAAAAAAUUGAUGGUUGGAAAAUUAAGUUAAGUGUUUUUAAAUAUUGGAGGAGUUGACAGAUAAAGACAAGGCUUGGCUUUAUUUCAAUUUGACAUGCACAGGCUUGGAGCUGGAGUUGAACCGGCGACUUCAGGAUCACAGCGUUUCAGAUGAGAAACAUCCUACAGCCCUCCGCUCUACCAACUGAGCUAUCAGGGUGUUCUCUAGUCACAAUUGCAGAAAACAUAGUGGCUGAGACAACACCCUAUGCCCACACAACUAUUGGAACCCAUAGUCAAUCAAAAGCCCAGCCCUACCUGCAGAACAAAGCUUUGCAGCUUGUACCCAACAGUCAUUGCCAGGGACCCAGAACUGAUAAUCAAGACUUUUAGGCUGGGUGAAUAAAAAAUUGAUGGUUGGAAAAUUAAGUUAUGUGGUUUGUGGUUUUAAAUAUUGGAGGAGUUGACAGAUAAAGACAAGGCUUGGCUUUAUUUCAAUUUGACAUGCACAGGCUUGGAGCUGGAGUUGAACCGGCGACUUCAGGAUCACAGCGUUUCAGAUGAGGAACAUCCUACAGCCCUCCGCUCUACCAACUGAGCUAUCAGGGUGUUCUCUAGUCACAAUUGCAGAAAACAUAGUGGCUGAGACAACACCCUAUGCCCACACAACUAUUGGAACCCAUAGUCAAUCAAAAGCCCAGCCCUACCUGCAGAACAAAGCUUUGCAGCUUGUACCCAACAGUCAUUGCCAGGGACCCAGAACUGAUAAUCAAGACUUUUAGGCUGGGUGAAUAAAAAAUUGAUGGUUGGAAAAUUAAGUUAUGUGGUUUGUGUUUUUAAAUAUUGGAGGAGUUGACAGAUAAAGACAAGGCUUGGCUUUAUUUCAAUUUGACAUGCACAGGCUUGGAGCUGGAGUUGAACCGGCGACUUCAGGAUCACAGCGUUUCAGAUGAGGAACAUACUACAGCCAUCCGCUCUACCAACUGAGCUAUCAGGGUGUUCUCUAUUCACAAUUGCAGAAAACAUAGUGGCUGAGACAACACCCUAUGCCCACACAACUAUUGGAACCCAUAGUCAAUCAAAAGCCCAGCCCUCCCUGCAGAACAAAGCUUUGCAGUUUGUACCCAACAGUCAUUGCCAGGGACCCAGAACUGAUAAUCAAGACUUUUAGGCUGGGUGAAUAAAAAACUGAUGGUUGGAAAAUUAAGUCAUGUUGUUUGUGUUUUUAAAUAUUGGAGGAGUUGACAGAUAAAGACAAGGCUUGGCUUUAUUUUAAUUUUAACAUGCACAGGCUUGGAGCUGGAGUUGAACCGGCGACUUCAGGAUCACAGCGUUUCAGAUGAGGAACAUGCUACAGCCCUCCGCUCUACCAACUGAGCUAUCAGGGUGUUCGCUAGUCACAAUCGCAGAAAACAUAGUGGCUGAGACAACACCCUAUGCCCACACAACUAUUGGAACCCAUAGUCAAUCAAAAGCCCAGCCCUACCUGCAGAACAAAGCUUUGCAGUUUGUACCCAACAGUCAUUGCCAGGGACCCAGAACUGAUAAUCAAGACUUUUAGGCUGGGUGAAUAAAAAAUUGAUGGUUGGAAAAUUAAGUUAUGUGGUUUGUGGUUUUAAAUAUUGGAGGAGUUGACAGAUAAAGACAAGGCUUGGCUUUAUUUCAAUUUGACAUGCAAAGGCUUGGAGCUGGAGUUGAACCGGCGACUUCAGGAUCACAGCGUUUCAGAUGAGGAACAUCCUACAGCCGUCCGCUCUACCAACUGAGCUAUCAGGUUGUUCUCUAGUCACAAUUGCAGAAAACAUAGUGGCUGAGACAACACCCUAUGCCCACACAACUAUUGGAACCCAUAGUCAAUCAAAAGCCCAGCCCUACCUGCAGAACAAAGCUUUGCAGCUUGUACCCAACAGUCAUUGCCAGGGACCCAGAACUGAUAAUCAAGACUUUUAGGCUGGGUGAAUAAAAAACUGAUGGUUGGAAAAUUAAGUUAUGUGGUUUGUGGUUUUAAAUAUUGGAGGAGUUGACAGAUAAAGACAAGGCUUGGCUUUAUUUCAAUUUGACAUGCACAGGCUUGGAGCUGGAGUUGAACCGGCGACUUCAGGAUCACAGCGUUUCAGAUGAGGAACAUCCUACAGCCCUCCGCUCUACCAACUGAGCUAUCAGGGUGUUCUCUAGUCACAAUUGCAGAAAACAUAGUGGCUGAGACAACACCCUAUGCCCACACAACUAUUGGAACCCAUAGUCAAUCAAAAGCCCAGCCCUACCUGCAGAACAAAGCUUUGCAGUUUGUACCCAACAGUCAUUGCCAGGGACCCAGAACUGAUAAUCAAGACUUUUAGGCUGGGUGAAUAAAAAAUUGAUGGUUGGAAAAUUAAGUUAUGUGGUUUGUGUUUUUAAAUAUUGGAGGAGUUGACAGAUAAAGACAAGGCUUGGCUUUAUUUCAAUUUGACAUGCACAGGCUUGGAGCUGGAGUUGAACCGGCGACUUCAGGAUCACAGCGUUUCCGAUGAGGAACAUCCUACAGCUCUCCGCUCUACCAACUGAGCUAUCAGGGUGUUCUCUAGUCACAAUUGCAGAAAACAUAGUGGCUGAGACAACACCCUAUGCCCACACAACUAUUGGAACCCAUAGUCAAUCAAAAGCCCAGCCCUACCUGCAGAACAAAGCUUUGCAGUUUGUACCCAACAGUCAUUGCCAGGGACCCAGAACUGAUAAUCAAGACUUUUAGGCUGGGUGAAUAAAAAACUGAUGGUUGGAAAAUUAAGUUAUGUUGUUUGUGUUUUUAAAUAUUGGAGGAGUUGACAGAUAAAGACAAGGCUUGGCUUUAUUUCAAUUUUAACAUGCACAGGCUUGGAGCUGGAGUUGAACCAGCGACUUCAGGAUCACAGCGUUUCAGAUGAGGAACAUGCUACAGCCCUCCGCUCUACCAACUGAGCUAUCAGGGUGUUCUCUAGUCACAAUUGCAGAAAACAUAGUGGCUGAGACAACACCCUAUGCCCACACAACUAUUGUAACCCAUAGUCAAUCAAAAGCCCAGCCCUACCUGCAGAACAAAGCUUUGCAGUUUGUACCCAACAGUCAUUGCCAGGGACCCAGAACUGAUAAUCAAGACUUUUAGGCUGGGUGAAUAAAAAAUUGAUGGUUGGAAAAUUAAGUUAUGUGUUUUUAAAUAUUGGAGGAGUUGACAGAUAAAGACAAGGCUUGGCUUUAUUUCAAUUUGACAUGGACAGGCUUGGAGCUGGAGUUGAACCGGCGACUUCAGGAUCAGAGCGUUUCAGAUGAGGAACAUCCUACAGCCCUCCGCUCUACCAACUGAGCUAUCAGGGUGUUCUCUAGUCACAAUUGCAGAAAACAUAGUGGCUGAGACAACACCCUAUGCCCACACAACUAUUGGAACCCAUAGUCAAUCAAAAGCCCAGCCCUACCUGCAGAACAAAGCUUUGCAGUUUGUACCCAACAGUCAUUGCCAGGGACCCAGAACUGAUAAUCAAGACUUUGAGGCUGGGUGAAUAAAAAAUUGAUGGUUGGAAAAUUAAGUUAAGUGUUUUUAAAUAUUGGAGGAGUUGACAGAUAAAGACAAGGCUUGGCUUUAUUUCAAUUUGACAUGCACAGGCUUGGAGCUGGAGUUGAACCGGCGACUUCAGGAUCACAGCGUUUCAGAUGAGAAACAUCCUACAGCCCUCCGCUCUACCAACUGAGCUAUCAGGGUGUUCUCUAGUCACAAUUGCAGAAAACAUAGUGGCUGAGACAACACCCUAUGCCCACACAACUAUUGGAACCCAUAGUCAAUCAAAAGCCCAGCCCUACCUGCAGAACAAAGCUUUGCAGCUUGUACCCAACAGUCAUUGCCAGGGACCCAGAACUGAUAAUCAAGACUUUUAGGCUGGGUGAAUAAAAAAUUGAUGGUUGGAAAAUUAAGUUAUGUGGUUUGUGGUUUUAAAUAUUGGAGGAGUUGACAGAUAAAGACAAGGCUUGGCUUUAUUUCAAUUUGACAUGCACAGGCUUGGAGCUGGAGUUGAACCGGCGACUUCAGGAUCACAGCGUUUCAGAUGAGGAACAUCCUACAGCCCUCCGCUCUACCAACUGAGCUAUCAGGGUGUUCUCUAGUCACAAUUGCAGAAAACAUAGUGGCUGAGACAACACCCUAUGCCCACACAACUAUUGGAACCCAUAGUCAAUCAAAAGCCCAGCCCUACCUGCAGAACAAAGCUUUGCAGCUUGUACCCAACAGUCAUUGCCAGGGACCCAGAACUGAUAAUCAAGACUUUUAGGCUGGGUGAAUAAAAAAUUGAUGGUUGGAAAAUUAAGUUAUGUGGUUUGUGUUUUUAAAUAUUGGAGGAGUUGACAGAUAAAGACAAGGCUUGGCUUUAUUUCAAUUUGACAUGCACAGGCUUGGAGCUGGAGUUGAACCGGCGACUUCAGGAUCACAGCGUUUCAGAUGAGGAACAUACUACAGCCAUCCGCUCUACCAACUGAGCUAUCAGGGUGUUCUCUAUUCACAAUUGCAGAAAACAUAGUGGCUGAGACAACACCCUAUGCCCACACAACUAUUGGAACCCAUAGUCAAUCAAAAGCCCAGCCCUCCCUGCAGAACAAAGCUUUGCAGUUUGUACCCAACAGUCAUUGCCAGGGACCCAGAACUGAUAAUCAAGACUUUUAGGCUGGGUGAAUAAAAAACUGAUGGUUGGAAAAUUAAGUCAUGUUGUUUGUGUUUUUAAAUAUUGGAGGAGUUGACAGAUAAAGACAAGGCUUGGCUUUAUUUUAAUUUUAACAUGCACAGGCUUGGAGCUGGAGUUGAACCGGCGACUUCAGGAUCACAGCGUUUCAGAUGAGGAACAUGCUACAGCCCUCCGCUCUACCAACUGAGCUAUCAGGGUGUUCGCUAGUCACAAUCGCAGAAAACAUAGUGGCUGAGACAACACCCUAUGCCCACACAACUAUUGGAACCCAUAGUCAAUCAAAAGCCCAGCCCUACCUGCAGAACAAAGCUUUGCAGUUUGUACCCAACAGUCAUUGCCAGGGACCCAGAACUGAUAAUCAAGACUUUUAGGCUGGGUGAAUAAAAAAUUGAUGGUUGGAAAAUUAAGUUAUGUGGUUUGUGGUUUUAAAUAUUGGAGGAGUUGACAGAUAAAGACAAGGCUUGGCUUUAUUUCAAUUUGACAUGGACAGGCUUGGAGCUGGAGUUGAACCGGCGACUUCAGGAUCACAGCAUUUCAGAUGAGGAACAUACUACAGCCCUCCGCUCUACCAACUGAGCUAUCAGGGUGUUCUCUAUUCACAAUUGCAGAAAACAUAGUGGCUGAGACAACACCCUAUGCCCACACAACUAUUGGAACCCAUAGUCAAUCAAAAGCCCAGCCCUACCUGCAGAACAAAGCUUUGCAGUUUGUACCCAACAGUCAUUGCCAGGGACCCAGAACUGAUAAUCAAGACUUUUAGGCUGGGUGAAUAAAAAACUGAUGGUUGGAAAAUUAAGUCAUGUUGUUUGUGUUUUUAAAUAUUGGAGGAGUUGACAGAUAAAGACAAGGCUUGGCUUUAUUUUAAUUUUAACAUGCACAGGCUUGGAGCUGGAGUUGAACCGGCGACUUCAGGAUCACAGCGUUUCAGAUGAGGAACAUGCUACAGCCCUCCGCUCUACCAACUGAGCUAUCAGGGUGUUCGCUAGUCACAAUCGCAGAAAACAUAGUGGCUGAGACAACACCCUAUGCCCACACAACUAUUGGAACCCAUAGUCAAUCAAAAGCCCAGCCCUACCUGCAGAACAAAGCUUUGCAGUUUGUACCCAACAGUCAUUGCCAGGGACCCAGAACUGAUAAUCAAGACUUUUAGGCUGGGUGAAUAAAAAAUUGAUGGUUGGAAAAUUAAGUUAUGUGGUUUGUGGUUUUAAAUAUUGGAGGAGUUGACAGAUAAAGACAAGGCUUGGCUUUAUUUCAAUUUGACAUGCACAGGCUUGGAGAUGGAGUUGAACCGGCGACUUCAGGAUCACAGCGUUUCAGAUGAGGAACAUCCUACAGCCCUCCGCUCUACCAACUGAGCUAUCAGGGUGUGCUCUAGUCACAAUUGCAGAAAACAUAGUGGCUGAGACAACACCCUAUGCCCACACAACUAUUGGAACCCAUAGUCAAUCAAAAGCCCAGCCCUACCUGCAGAACAAAGCUUUGCAAUUUGACACAAUUUGACAUGCACAGGCUUGUACCCAACAGUCAUUGCCAGGGACCCAGAACUGAUAAUCAAGACUUUUAGGCUGGGUGAAUAAAAAAUUGUGGUUAUGUGGUUUGUGUUUUUAAAUAUUGGAGGAGUUGACAGAUAAAGACAAGGCUUGGCUUUAUUUCAAUUUGACAUGCACAGGCUUGGAGCUGGAGUUGAACCGGCGACUUCAGGAUCACAGCGUUUCAGAUGAGGAACAUCCUACAGCCGUCCGCUCUACCAACUGAGCUAUCAGGGUGUUCUCUAGCCACAAUUGCAGAAAACAUAGUGGCUGAGACAACACCCUAUGCCCACACAACUAUUGGAACCCAUAGUCAAUCAAAAGCCCAGCCCUACCUGCAGAACAAAGCUUUGCAGCUUGUACCCAACAGUCAUUGCCAGGGACCCAGAACUGAUAAUCAAGACUUUUAGGCUGGGUGAAUAAAAAACUGAUGGUUGGAAAAUUAAGUUAUGUGGUUUGUGGUUUUAAAUAUUGGAGGAGUUGACAGAUAAAGACAAGGCUUGGCUUUAUUUCAAUUUGACAUGCACAGGCUUGGAGCUAGAGUUGAACCGGCGACUUCAGGAUCACAGCGUUUCAGAUGAGGAACAUCCUACAGCCCUCCGCUCUACCAAGUGAGCUAUCAGGGUGUUCUCUAGUCACAAUUGCAGAAAACAUAGUGGCUGAGACAACACCCUAUGCCCACACAACUAUUGGAACCCAUAGUCAAUCAAAAGCCCAGCCCUACCUGCAGAACAAAGCUUUGCAGUUUGUACCCAACAGUCAUUGCCAGGGACCCAGAACUGAUAAUCAAGACUUUUAGGCUGGGUGAAUAAAAAAUUGAUGGUUGGAAAAUUAAGUUAUGUGGUUUUAAAUAUUGGAGGAGUUGACAGAUAAAGACAAGGCUUGGCUUUAUUUCAAUUUGACAUGCACAGGCUUGGAGCUGGAGUUGAACCGGCGACUUCAGGAUCACAGCGUUUCAGAUGAGGAACAUCCUACAGCCCUCCGCUCUACCAACUGAGCUAUCAGGGUGUUCUGUAGUCACAAUUGCAGAAAACAUAGUGCCUGAGACAACACCCUAUGCCCACACAACUAUUGGAACCCAUAGUCAAUCAAAAGCCCAGCCCUACCUGCAGAACAAAGCUUUGCAGUUUGUACCCAACAGUCAUUGCCAAGGACCCAUAACUGAUAAUCAAGACUUUUAGGCUGGGUGAAUAAAAAAUUGAUGGUUGGAAAAUUAAGUUAUGUGGUUUGUGUUUUUAAAUAUUGGAGGAGUUGACAGAUAAAGACAAGGCUUGGCUUUAUUUCAAUUUGACAUGCACAGGCUUGGAGCUGGAGUUGAACCGGCGACUUUAGGAUCACAGCGUUUCAGAUGAGAAACAUCCUACAGCCCUCCGCUCUACCAACUGAGCUAUCAGGGUGUUCUCUAGUCACAAUUGCAGAAAACAUAGUGGCUGAGACAACACCCUAUGCCCACACAACUAUUGGAACCCAUAGUCAAUCAAAAGCCCAGCCCUACCUGCAGAACAAAGCUUUGCAGUUUGUACCCAACAGUCAUUGCCAAGGACCCAGAACUGAUAAUCAAGACUUUUAGGCUGGGUGAAUAAAAAAUUGAUGGUUGGAAAAUUAAGUUAUGUGGUUUGUGGUUUUAAAUAUUGGAGGAGUUGACAGAUAAAGACAAGGCUUGGCUUUAUUUCAAUUUGACAUGCACAGGCUUGGAGCUGGAGUUGAACCGGCGACUUCAUCAUCACAGUGUUUCAGAUGAGGAACAUCCUACAGCCGUCCGCUCUACCAACUGAGCUAUCAGGGUGUUCUCUAGUCACAAUUGCAGAAAACAUAGUGGCUGAGACAACACCCUAUGCCCACACAACUAUUGGAACCCAUAGUCAAUCAAAAGCCCAGCCCUACCUGCAGAACAAAGCUUUGCAGCUUGUACCCAACAGUCAUUGCCAGGGACCCAGAACUGAUAAUCAAGACUUUUAGGCUGGGUGAAUAAAAAACUGAUGGUUGGAAAAUUAAGUUAUGUGGUUUGUGGUUUUAAAUAUUGGAGGAGUUGACAGAUAAAGACAAGGCUUGGCUUUAUUUUAAUUUUAACAUGCACAGGCUUGGAGCUGGAGUUGAACCGGCGACUUCAGGAUCACAGCGUUUCAGAUGAGGAACAUGCUACAGCCCUCCGCUCUACCAACUGAGCUAUCAGGGUGUUCUCUAGUCACAAUUGCAGAAAACAUAGUGGCUGAGACAACACCCUAUGCCCACACAACUAUUGGAACCCAUAGUCAAUCAAAAGCCCAGCCCUACCUGCAGAACAAAGCUUUGCAGUUUGUACCCAACAGUCAUUGCCAGGGACCCAUAACUGAUAAUCAAGACUUUUAGGCUGGGUGAAUAAAAAAUUGAUGGUUGGAAAAUUAAGUUAUGUGUUUUUAAAUAUUGGAGGAGUUGACAGAUAAAGACAAGGCUUGGCUUUAUUUCAAUUUGACAUGCACAGGCUUGGAGCUGGAGUUGAACCGGCGACUUCAGGAUCACAGCGUUUCAGAUGAGAAACAUCCUACAGCCCUCCGCUCUACCAACUGAGCUAUCAGGGUGUUCUCUAGUCACAAUUGCAGAAAACAUAGUGGCUGAGACAACACCCUAUGCCCACACAACUAUUGGAACCCAUAGUCAAUCAAAAGCCCAGCCCUACCUGCAGAACAAAGCUUUGCAGCUUGUACCCAACAGUCAUUGCCAGGGACCCAUAACUGAUAAUCAAGACUUUGAGGCUGGGUGAAUAAAAAAUUGAUGGUUGGAAAAUUAAGUUAUGUGGUUUGUGUUUUUAAAUAUUGGAGGAGUUGACAGAUAAAGACAAGGCUUGGCUUUAUUUCAAUUUGACAUGCAAAGGCUUUGAGCUGGAGUUGAACCGGCGACUUCAGGAUCACAGCGUUUCAGAUGAGGAACAUCCUACAGCCGUCCGCUCUACCAACUGAGCUAUCAGGGUGUUCUCUAGUCACAAUUGCAGAAAACAUAGUGGCUGAGACAACACCCUAUGCCCACACAACUAUUGUAACCCAUAGUCAAUCAAAAGCCCAGCCCUACCUGCAGAACAAAGCUUUGCAGCUUGUACCCAACAGUCAUUGCCAGGGACCCAGAACUGAUAAUCAAGACUUUUAGGCUGGGUGAAUAAAAAAUUGAUGGUUGGAAAAUUAAGUUAUGUGUUUUUAAAUAUUGGAGGAGUUGACAGAUAAAGACAAGGCUUGGCUUUAUUUCAAUUUGACAUGCACAGGCUUGGAGCUGGAGUUGAACCGGCGACUUCAUCAUCACAGUGUUUCAGAUGAGAAACAUCCUACAGCCCUCCGCUCUACCAACUGAGCUAUCAGGGUGUUCUCUAGUCACAAUUGCAGAAAACAUAGUGGCUGAGACAACACCCUAUGCCCACACAACUAUUGGAACCCAUAGUCAAUCAAAAGCCCAGCCCUACCUGCAGAACAAAGCUUUGCAGCUUGUACCCAACAGUCAUUGCCAGGGACCCAUAACUGAUAAUCAAGACUUUGAGGCUGGGUGAAUAAAAAAUUGAUGGUUGGAAAAUUAAGUUAUGUGGUUUGUGUUUUUAAAUAUUGGAGGAGUUGACAGAUAAAGACAAGGCUUGGCUUUAUUUCAAUUUGACAUGCACAGGUUUGGAGCUGGAGUUGAACCGGCGACUUCAGGAUCACAGCGUUUCAGAUGAGGAACAUCCUACAGCCGUCCGCUCUACCAACUGAGCUAUCAGGGUGUUCUCUAGUCACAUUUGCAGAAAACAUAGUGGCUGAGACAACACCCUAUGCCCACACAACUAUUGGAACCCAUAGUCAAUCAAAAGCCCAGCCCUACCUGCAGAACAAAGCUUUGCAGCUUGUACCCAACAGUCAUUGCCAGGGGCCCAGAACUGAUAAUCAAGACUUUUAGGCUGGGUGAAUAAAAAAUUGAUGGUUGGAAAAUUAAGUUAUGUGUUUUUAAAUAUUGGAGGAGUUGACAGAUAAAGACAAGGCUUGGCUUUAUUUCAAUUUGACAUGCACAGCCUUGGAGCUGGAGUUGAACCGGCGACUUAAGGAUCACAGCGUUUCAGAUGAGAAACAUCCUACAGCCCUCCGCUCUACCAACUGAGCUAUCAGGGUGUUCUCUAGUCACAAUUGCAGAAAACAUAGUGGCUGAGACAACACCCUAUGCCCACACAACUAUUGGAACCCAUAGUCAAUCAAAAGCCCAGCCCUAGCUGCAGAACAAAGCUUUGCAGCUUGUACCCAACAGUCAUUGCCAGGGACCCAGAACUGAUAAUCAAGACUUUUAGGCUGGGUGAAUAAAAAAUUGAUGGUUGGAAAAUUAAGUUAUGUGGUUUGUGGUUUUAAAUAUUGGAGGAGUUGACAGAUAAAGACAAGGCUUGGCUUUAUUUCAAUUUGACAUGCACAGGCUUGGAGCUGGAGUUGAACCGGCGACUUCAGGAUCACAGCGUUUCAGAUGAGGAACAUACUACAGCCCUCCGCUCUACCAACUGAGCUAUCAGGGUGUUCUCUAGUCACAAUUGCAGAAAACAUAGUGCCUGAGACAACACCCUAUGCCCACACAACUAUUGGAACCCAUAGUCAAUCAAAAGCCCAGCCCUACCUGCAGAACAAAGCUUUGCAGUUUGUACCCAACAGUCAUUGCCAGGGACCCAGAACUGAUAAUCAAGACUUUUAGGCUGGGUGAAUAAAAAAUUGAUGGUUGGAAAAUUAAGUUAUGUGGUUUGUGUUUUUAAAUAUUGGAGGAGUUGACAGAUAAAGACAAGGCUUGGCUUUAUUUCAAUUUGACAUGCACAGGCUUGGAGCUGGAGUUGAACCGGCGACUUCAGGAUCACGGCGUUUCAGAUGAGGAACAUCCUACAGCCCUUCGCUCUACCAACUGAGCUAUCAGGGUGUUCUCUAGUCACAAUUGCAGAAAACAUAGUGGCUGAGACAACACCCUAUGCCCACACAACUAUUGGAACCCAUAGUCAAUCAAAAGCCCAGCCCUACCUGCAGAACAAAGCUUUGCAGUUUGUACCCAACAGUCAUUGCCAAGGACCCAUAACUGAUAAUCAAGACUUUUAGGCUGGGUGAAUAAAAAAUUGAUGGUUGGAAAAUUAAGUUAUGUGGUUUGUGGUUUUAAAUAUUGGAGGAGUUGACAGAUAAAGACAAGGCUUGGCUUUAUUUCAAUUUGACAUGCAAAGGCUUGGAGCUGGAGUUGAACCGGCGACUUCAGGAUCACAGCGUUUCAGAUGAGGAACAUCCUACAGCCGUCCGCUCUACCAACUGAGCUAUCAGGUUGUUCUCUAGUCACAAUUGCAGAAAACAUAGUGGCUGAGACAACACCCUAUGCCCACACAACUAUUGGAACCCAUAGUCAAUCAAAAGCCCAGCCCUACCUGCAGAACAAAGCUUUGCAGCUUGUACCCAACAGUCAUUGCCAGGGACCCAGAACUGAUAAUCAAGACUUUUAGGCUGGGUGAAUAAAAAACUGAUGGUUGGAAAAUUAAGUUAUGUGGUUUGUGGUUUUAAAUAUUGGAGGAGUUGACAGAUAAAGACAAGGCUUGGCUUUAUUUCAAUUUGACAUGCACAGGCUUGGAGCUGGAGUUGAACCGGCGACUUCAGGAUCACAGCAUUUCAGAUGAGGAACAUCCUACAGCCCUCCGCUCUACCAACUGAGCUAUCAGGGUGUUCUCUAGUCACAAUUGCAGAAAACAUAGUGGCUGAGACAACACCCUAUGCCCACACAACUAUUGGAACCCAUAGUCAAUCAAAAGCCCAGCCCUACCUGCAGAACAAAGCUUUGCAGUUUGUACCCAACAGUCAUUGCCAGGGACCCAGAACUGAUAAUCAAGACUUUUAGGCUGGGUGAAUAAAAAAUUGAUGGUUGGAAAAUUAAGUUAUGUGGUUUGUGUUUUUAAAUAUUGGAGGAGUUGACAGAUAAAGACAAGGCUUGGCUUUAUUUCAAUUUGACAUGCACAGGCUUGGAGCUGGAGUUGAACCGGGGACUUCAGGAUCACAGCGUUUCCGAUGAGGAACAUCCUACAGCUCUCCGCUCUACCAACUGAGCUAUCAGGGUGUUCUCUAGUCACAAUUGCAGAAAACAUAGUGGCUGAGACAACACCCUAUGCCCACACAACUAUUGGAACCCAUAGUCAAUCAAAAGCCCAGCCCUACCUGCAGAACAAAGCUUUGCAGUUUGUACCCAACAGUCAUUGCCAGGGACCCAGAACUGAUAAUCAAGACUUUUAGGCUGGGUGAAUAAAAAACUGAUGGUUGGAAAAUUAAGUUAUGUUGUUUGUGUUUUUAAAUAUUGGAGGAGUUGACAGAUAAAGACAAGGCUUGGCUUUAUUUCAAUUUUAACAUGCACAGGCUUGGAGCUGGAGUUGAACCAGCGACUUCAGGAUCACAGCGUUUCAGAUGAGGAACAUGCUACAGCCCUCCGCUCUACCAACUGAGCUAUCAGGGUGUUCUCUAGUCACAAUUGCAGAAAACAUAGUGGCUGAGACAACACCCUAUGCCCACACAACUAUUGUAACCCAUAGUCAAUCAAAAGCCCAGCCCUACCUGCAGAACAAAGCUUUGCAGUUUGUACCCAACAGUCAUUGCCAGGGACCCAGAACUGAUAAUCAAGACUUUUAGGCUGGGUGAAUAAAAAAUUGAUGGUUGGAAAAUUAAGUUAUGUGUUUUUAAAUAUUGGAGGAGUUGACAGAUAAAGACAAGGCUUGGCUUUAUUUCAAUUUGACAUGGACAGGCUUGGAGCUGGAGUUGAACCGGCGACUUCAGGAUCAGAGCGUUUCAGAUGAGGAACAUCCUACAGCCCUCCGCUCUACCAACUGAGCUAUCAGGGUGUUCUCUAGUCACAAUUGCAGAAAACAUAGUGGCUGAGACAACACCCUAUGCCCACACAACUAUUGGAACCCAUAGUCAAUCAUAAGCCCAGCCCUACCUGCAGAACAAAGCUUUGCAGUUUGUACCCAACAGUCAUUGCCAGGGACCCAGAACUGAUAAUCAAGACUUUUAGGCUGGGUGAAUAAAAAAUUGAUGGUUGGAAAAUUAAGUUAAGUGUUUUUAAAUAUUGGAGGAGUUGACAGAUAAAGACAAGGCUUGGCUUUAUUUCAAUUUGACAUGCACAGGCUUGGAGCUGGAGUUGAACCGGCGACUUCAGGAUCACAGCGUUUCAGAUGAGAAACAUCCUACAGCCCUCCGCUCUACCAACUGAGCUAUCAGGGUGUUCUCUAGUCACAAUUGCAGAAAACAUAGUGGCUGAGACAACACCCUAUGCCCACACAACUAUUGGAACCCAUAGUCAAUCAAAAGCCCAGCCCUACCUGCAGAACAAAGCUUUGCAGCUUGUACCCAACAGUCAUUGCCAGGGACCCAGAACUGAUAAUCAAGACUUUUAGGCUGGGUGAAUAAAAAAUUGAUGGUUGGAAAAUUAAGUUAUGUGGUUUGUGGUUUUAAAUAUUGGAGGAGUUGACAGAUAAAGACAAGGCUUGGCUUUAUUUCAAUUUGACAUGCACAGGCUUGGAGCUGGAGUUGAACCGGCGACUUCAGGAUCACAGCGUUUCAGAUGAGGAACAUCCUACAGCCCUCCGCUCUACCAACUGAGCUAUCAGGGUGUUCUCUAGUCACAAUUGCAGAAAACAUAGUGGCUGAGACAACACCCUAUGCCCACACAACUAUUGGAACCCAUAGUCAAUCAAAAGCCCAGCCCUACCUGCAGAACAAAGCUUUGCAGCUUGUACCCAACAGUCAUUGCCAGGGACCCAGAACUGAUAAUCAAGACUUUUAGGCUGGGUGAAUAAAAAACUGAUGGUUGGAAAAUUAAGUUAUGUGGUUUGUGUUUUUAAAUAUUGGAGGAGUUGACAGAUAAAGACAAGGCUUGGCUUUAUUUCAAUUUGACAUGCACAGGCUUGGAGCUGGAGUUGAACCGGCGACUUCAGGAUCAGAGCGUUUCAGAUGAGGAACAUCCUACAGCCCUCCGCUCUACCAACUGAGCUAUCAGGGUGUUCUCUAGUCACAAUUGCAGAAAACAUAGUGGCUGAGACAACACCCUAUGCCCACACAACUAUUGGAACCCAUAGUCAAUCAAAAGCCCAGCCCUACCUGCAGAACAAAGCUUUGCAGUUUGUACCCAACAGUCAUUGCCAGGGACCCAGAACUGAUAAUCAAGACUUUUAGGCUGGGUGAAUAAAAAAUUGAUGGUUGGAAAAUUAAGUUAUGUGGUUUGUGUUUUUAAAUAUUGGAGGAGUUGACAGAUAAAGACAAGGCUUGGCUUUAUUUCAAUUUGACAUGCACAGGGUUGGAGCUGGAGUUGAACCGGAGACUUCAGGAUCACAGCGUUUCAGAUGAGGAACAUACUACAGCCCUCUGCUCUACCAACUGAGCUAUCAGGGUGUUCUCUAGUCACAAUUGCAGAAAACAUAGUGGCUGAGACAACACCCUAUGCCCACACAACUAUUGGAACCCAUAGUCAAUCAAAAGCCCAGCCCUACCUGCAGAACAAAGCUUUGCAGUUUGUACCCAACAGUCAUUGCCAGGGACCCAGAACUGAUAAUCAAGACUUUUAGGCUGGGUGAAUAAAAAAUUGAUGGUUGGAAAAUUAAGUUAUGUGGUUUUAAAUAUUGGAGGAGUUGACAGAUAAAGACAAGGCUUGGCUUUAUUUCAAUUUGACAUGCACAGGCUUGGAGCUGGAGUUGAAGCGGCGACUUCAGGAUCACAGCGUUUCAGAUGAGGAACAUCCUACAGCUAUCUGCUCUACCAACUGAGCUAUCAGGGUGUUCUCUAGUCACAAUUGCAGAAAACAUAGUGGCUGAGACAACACCCUAUGCCCACACAACUAUUGGAACCCAUAGUCAAUCAAAAGCCCAGCCCUAGCUGCAGAACAAAGCUUUGCAGCUUGUACCCAACAGUCAUUGCCAGGGACCCAGAACUGAUAAUCAAGACUUUUAGGCUGGGUGAAUAAAAAAUUGAUGGUUGGAAAAUUAAGUUAUGUGGUUUGUGGUUUUAAAUAUUGGAGGAGUUGACAGAUAAAGACAAGGCUUGGCUUUAUUUCAAUUUGACAUGCACAGGCUUGGAGCUGGAGUUGAACCGGCGACUUCAGGAUCACAGCGUUUCAGAUGAGGAACAUCCUACAGCCCUCCGCUCUACCAACUGAGCUAUCAGGGUGUUCUCUAGUCACAAUUGCAGAAAACAUAGUGGCUGAGACAACACCCUAUGCCCACACAACUAUUGGAACCCAUAGUCAAUCAAAAGCCCAGCCCUACCUGCAGAACAAAGCUUUGCAGUUUGUACCCAACAGUCAUUGCCAGGGACCCAGAACUGAUAAUCAAGACUUUUAGGCUGGGUGAAUAAAAAACUGAUGGUUGGAAAAAUAAGUUAUGUGGUUUGUGUUUUUAAAUAUUGGAGGAGUUGACAGAUAAAGACAAGGCUUGGCUUUAUUUCAAUUUGACAUGCACAGGCUUGGAGCUGGAGUUGAACCGGCGACUUCAGGAUCACAGCGUUUCGGAUGAGGAACAUCCUACAGCCCUCCGCUCUACCAACUGAGCUAUCAGGGUGUUCUCUAGUCACAAUUGCAGAAAACAUAGUGGCUGAGACAACACCCUAUGCCCACACAACUAUUGGAACCCAUAGUCAAUCAAAAGCCCAGCCCUACCUGCAGAACAAAGCUUUGCAGUUUGUACCCAACAGUCAUUGCCAGGGACCCAGAACUGAUAAUCAAGACUUUUAGGCUGGGUGAAUAAAAAACUGAUGGUUGGAAAAUUAAGUUAUGUGGUUUGUGUUUUUAAAUAUUGGAGGAGUUGACAGAUAAAGACAAGGCUUGGCUUUAUUUCAAUUUGACAUGCACAGGCUUGGAGCUGGAGUUGAACCGGCGACUUCAGGAUCACAGCGUUUCGGAUGAGGAACAUCCUACAGCCCUCCGCUCUACCAACUGAGCUAUCAGGGUGUUCUCUAGUCACAAUUGCAGAAAACAUAGUGGCUGAGACAACACCCUAUGCCCACACAACUAUUGGAACCCAUAGUCAAUCAAAAGCCCAGCCCUACCUGCAGAACAAAGCUUUGCAGUUUGUACCCAACAGUCAUUGCCAGGGACCCAGAACUGAUAAUCAAGACUUUUAGGCUGGGUGAAUAAAAAAUUGACUGUUGGAAAAUGAAGUUAUGUGUUUUUAAAUAUUGGAGGAGUUGACAGAUAAAGACAAGGCUUGGCUUUAUUUCAAUUUGACAUGCACAGGCUUGGAGCUGGAGUUGAACCGGCGACUUCAGGAUCACAGCGUUUCAGAUGAGAAACAUGCUACAGCCGUCCGCUCUACCAACUGAGGUAUCAGGGUGUUCUCUAGUCGCAAUUGCAGAAAACAUAGUGGCUGAGACAACACCCUAUGCCCACACAACUAUUGGAACCCAUAGUCAAUCAAAAGCCCAGCCCUACCUGCAGAACAAAGCUUUGCAGCUUGUACCCAACAGUCAUUGCCAGGGACCCAGAACUGAUAAUCAAGACUUUUAGGCUGGGUGAAUAAAAAACUGAUGGUUGGAAAAAUAAGUUAUGUGGUUUGUGUUUUUAAAUAUUGGAGGAGUUGACAGAUAAAGACAAGGCUUGGCUUUAUUUCAAUUUGACAUGCACAGGCUUGGAGCUGGAGUUGAACCGGCGACUUCAGGAUCACAGCGUUUCAGAUGAGGAACAUCCUACAGCCCUCCGCUCUACCAACUGAGCUAUCAGGGUGUUCUCUAGUCACAAUUGCAGAAAACAUAGUGGCUGAGACAACACCCUAUGCCCACACAACUAUUGGAACCCAUAGUCAAUCAAAAGCCCAGCCCUACCUGCAGAACAAAGCUUUGCAGUUUGUACCCAACAGUCAUUGCCAGGGACCCAGAACUGAUAAUCAAGACUUUUAGGCUGGGUGAAUAAAAAAUUGAUGGUUGGAAAAUUAAGUUAUGUGGUUUGUGGUUUUAAAUAUUGGAGGAGUUGACAGAUAAAGACAAGGCUUGGCUUUAUUUCAAUUUGACAUGCACAGGCUUGGAGCUGGAGUUGAACCGGCGACUUCAGGAUCACAGCGUUUCAGAUGAGGAACAUCCUACAGCCCUCCGCUCUACCAACUGAGCUAUCAGGGUGUUCUCUAGUCACAAUUGCAGAAAACAUAGUGGCUGAGACAACACCCUAUGCCCACACAACUAUUGGAACCCAUAGUCAAUCAAAAGCCCAGCCCUACCUGCAGAACAAAGCUUUGCAGCUUGUACCCAACAGUCAUUGCCAGGGACCCAGAACUGAUAAUCAAGACUUUUAGGCUGGGUGAAUAAAAAACUGAUGGUUGGAAAAAUAAGUUAUGUGGUUUGUGUUUUUAAAUAUUGGAGGAGUUGACAGAUAAAGACAAGGCUUGGCUUUAUUUCAAUUUGACAUGCACAGGCUUGGAGCUGGAGUUGAACCGGAGACUUCAGGAUCACAGCGUUUCCGAUGAGGAACAUCCUACAGCCCUCCGCUCUACCAACUGAGCUAUCAGGGUGUUCUCUAGUCACAAUUGCAGAAAACAUAGUGGCUGAGACAACACCCUAUGCCCACACAACUAUUGGAACCCAUAGUCAAUCAAAAGCCCAGCCCUACCUGCAGAACAAAGCUUUGCAGUUUGUACCCAACAGUCAUUGCCAGGGACCCAGAACUGAUAAUCAAGACUUUUAGGCUGGGUGAAUAAAAAAUUGAUGGUUGGAAAAUUAAGUUAUGUGGUUUGUGUUUUUUAAUAUUGGAGGAGUUGACAGAUAAAGACAAGGCUUGGCUUUAUUUCAAUUUGACAUGCACAGGCUUGGAGCUGGAGUUGAACCGGCGACUUCAGGAUCACAGCGUUUCAGAUGAGGAACAUACUACAGCCCUCCGCUCUACCAACUGAGCUAUCAGGGUGUUCUCUAGUCACAGUUGCAGAAAACAUAGUGGCUGAGACAACACCCUAUGCCCACACAACUAUUGGAACCCAUAGUCAAUCAAAAGCCCAGCCCUACCUGCAGAACAAAGCUUUGCAGUUUGUACCCAACAGUCAUUGCCAGGGACCCAGAACUGAUAAUCAAGACUUUUAGGCUGGGUGAAUAAAAAACUGAUGGUUGGAAAAUUAAGUCAUGUUGUUUGUGUUUUUAAAUAUUGGAGGAGUUGACAGAUAAAGACAAGGCUUGGCUUUAUUUUAAUUUUAACAUGCACAGGCUUGGAGCUGGAGUUGAACCGGCGACUUCAGGAUCACAGCGUUUCAGAUGAGGAACAUGCUACAGCCCUCCGCUCUACCAACUGAGCUAUCAGGGUGUUCGCUAGUCACAAUCGCAGAAAACAUAGUGGCUGAGACAACACCCUAUGCCCACACAACUAUUGGAACCCAUAGUCAAUCAAAAGCCCAGCCCUACCUGCAGAACAAAGCUUUGCAGUUUGUACCCAACAGUCAUUGCCAGGGACCCAGAACUGAUAAUCAAGACUUUUAGGCUGGGUGAAUAAAAAAUUGAUGGUUGGAAAAUUAAGUUAUGUGGUUUGUGGUUUUAAAUAUUGGAGGAGUUGACAGAUAAAGACAAGGCUUGGCUUUAUUUCAAUUUGACAUGCACAGGCUUGGAGAUAGAGUUGAACCGGCGACUUCAGGAUCACAGCGUUUCAGAUGAGGAACAUCCUACAGCCCUCCGCUCUACCAACUGAGCUAUCAGGGUGUCCUCUAGUCACAAUUGCAGAAAACAUAGUGGCUGAGACAACACCCUAUGCCCACACAACUAUUGGAACCCAUAGUCAAUCAAAAGCCCAGCCCUACCUGCAGAACAAAGCUUUGCAGUUUGUACCCAACAGUCAUUGCCAGGGACCCAGAACUGAUAAUCAAGACUUUUAGGCUGGGUGAAUAAAAAACUGAUGGUUGGAAAAAUAAGUUAUGUGGUUUGUGUUUUUAAAUAUUGGAGGAGUUGACAGAUAAAGACAAGGCUUGGCUUUAUUUCAAUUUGACAUGCACAGACUUGGAGCUGGAGUUGAACCGGCGACUUCAGGAUCACAGCGUUUCAGAUGAGGAACAUCCUACAGCCCUCCGCUCUACCAACUGAGCUAUCAGGGUGUUCUCUAGUCACAAUUGCAGAAAACAUAGUGGCUGAGACAACACCCUAUGCCCACACAACUAUUGGAACCCAUAGUCAAUCAAAAGCCCAGCCCUACCUGCAGAACAAAGCUUUGCAGUUUGUACCCAACAGUCAUUGCCAAGGACCCAUAACUGAUAAUCAAGACUUUUAGGCUGGGUGAAUAAAAAAUUGAUGGUUGGAAAAUUAAGUUAUGUGGUUUGUGGUUUUAAAUAUUGGAGGAGUUGACAGAUAAAGACAAGGCUUGGCUUUAUUUCAAUUUGACAUGCAAAGGCUUGGAGCUGGAGUUGAACCGGCGACUUCAGGAUCACAGCGUUUCAGAUGAGGAACAUCCUACAGCCGUCCGCUCUACCAACUGAGCUAUCAGGUUGUUCUCUAGUCACAAUUGCAGAAAACAUAGUGGCUGAGACAACACCCUAUGCCCACACAACUAUUGGAACCCAUAGUCAAUCAAAAGCCCAGCCCUACCUGCAGAACAAAGCUUUGCAGCUUGUACCCAACAGUCAUUGCCAGGGACCCAGAACUGAUAAUCAAGACUUUUAGGCUGGGUGAAUAAAAAACUGAUGGUUGGAAAAUUAAGUUAUGUGGUUUGUGGUUUUAAAUAUUGGAGGAGUUGACAGAUAAAGACAAGGCUUGGCUUUAUUUCAAUUUGACAUGCACAGGCUUGGAGCUGGAGUUGAACCGGCGACUUCAGGAUCACAGCGUUUCAGAUGAGGAACAUCCUACAGGCCUCCGCUCUACCAACUGAGCUAUCAGGGUGUUCUCUAGUCACAAUUGCAGAAAACAUAGUGGCUGAGACAACACCCUAUGCCCACACAACUAUUGGAACCCAUAGUCAAUCAAAAGCCCAGCCCUACCUGCAGAACAAAGCUUUGCAGUUUGUACCCAACAGUCAUUGCCAGGGACCCAGAACUGAUAAUCAAGACUUUUAGGCUGGGUGAAUAAAAAAUUGAUGGUUGGAAAAUUAAGUUAUGUGGUUUGUGUUUUUAAAUAUUGGAGGAGUUGACAGAUAAAGACAAGGCUUGGCUUUAUUUCAAUUUGACAUGCACAGGCUUGGAGCUGGAGUUGAACCGGCGACUUCAGGAUCACAGCGUUUCCGAUGAGGAACAUCCUACAGCUCUCCGCUCUACCAACUGAGCUAUCAGGGUGUUCUCUAGUCACAAUUGCAGAAAACAUAGUGGCUGAGACAACACCCUAUGCCCACACAACUAUUGGAACCCAUAGUCAAUCAAAAGCCCAGCCCUACCUGCAGAACAAAGCUUUGCAGUUUGUACCCAACAGUCAUUGCCAGGGACCCAGAACUGAUAAUCAAGACUUUUAGGCUGGGUGAAUAAAAAACUGAUGGUUGGAAAAUUAAGUUAUGUUGUUUGUGUUUUUAAAUAUUGGAGGAGUUGACAGAUAAAGACAAGGCUUGGCUUUAUUUCAAUUUUAACAUGCACAGGCUUGGAGCUGGAGUUGAACCAGCGACUUCAGGAUCACAGCGUUUCAGAUGAGGAACAUGCUACAGCCCUCCGCUCUACCAACUGAGCUAUCAGGGUGUUCUCUAGUCACAAUUGCAGAAAACAUAGUGGCUGAGACAACACCCUAUGCCCACACAACUAUUGUAACCCAUAGUCAAUCAAAAGCCCAGCCCUACCUGCAGAACAAAGCUUUGCAGUUUGUACCCAACAGUCAUUGCCAGGGACCCAGAACUGAUAAUCAAGACUUUUAGGCUGGGUGAAUAAAAAAUUGAUGGUUGGAAAAUUAAGUUAUGUGUUUUUAAAUAUUGGAGGAGUUGACAGAUAAAGACAAGGCUUGGCUUUAUUUCAAUUUGACAUGGACAGGCUUGGAGCUGGAGUUGAACCGGCGACUUCAGGAUCAGAGCGUUUCAGAUGAGGAACAUCCUACAGCCCUCCGCUCUACCAACUGAGCUAUCAGGGUGUUCUCUAGUCACAAUUGCAGAAAACAUAGUGGCUGAGACAACACCCUAUGCCCACACAACUAUUGGAACCCAUAGUCAAUCAAAAGCCCAGCCCUACCUGCAGAACAAAGCUUUGCAGUAUGUACCCAACAGUCAUUGCCAGGGACCCAGAACUGAUAAUCAAGACUUUGAGGCUGGGUGAAUAAAAAAUUGAUGGUUGGAAAAUUAAGUUAAGUGUUUUUAAAUAUUGGAGGAGUUGACAGAUAAAGACAAGGCUUGGCUUUAUUUCAAUUUGACAUGCACAGGCUUGGAGCUGGAGUUGAACCGGCGACUUCAGGAUCACAGCGUUUCAGAUGAGAAACAUCCUACAGCCCUCCGCUCUACCAACUGAGCUAUCAGGGUGUUCUCUAGUCACAAUUGCAGAAAACAUAGUGGCUGAGACAACACCCUAUGCCCACACAACUAUUGGAACCCAUAGUCAAUCAAAAGCCCAGCCCUACCUGCAGAACAAAGCUUUGCAGCUUGUACCCAACAGUCAUUGCCAGGGACCCAGAACUGAUAAUCAAGACUUUUAGGCUGGGUGAAUAAAAAAUUGAUGGUUGGAAAAUUAAGUUAUGUGGUUUGUGGUUUUAAAUAUUGGAGGAGUUGACAGAUAAAGACAAGGCUUGGCUUUAUUUCAAUUUGACAUGCACAGGCUUGGAGCUGGAGUUGAACCGGCGACUUCAGGAUCACAGCGUUUCAGAUGAGGAACAUCCUACAGCCCUCCGCUCUACCAACUGAGCUAUCAGGGUGUUCUCUAGUCACAAUUGCAGAAAACAUAGUGGCUGAGACAACACCCUAUGCCCACACAACUAUUGGAACCCAUAGUCAAUCAAAAGCCCAGCCCUACCUGCAGAACAAAGCUUUGCAGCUUGUACCCAACAGUCAUUGCCAGGGACCCAGAACUGAUAAUCAAGAUUUUUAGGCUGGGUGAAUAAAAAACUGAUGGUUGGAAAAUUAAGUUAUGUGGUUUGUGUUUUUAAAUAUUGGAGGAGUUGACAGAUAAAGACAAGGCUUGGCUUUAUUUCAAUUUGACAUGCACAGGCUUGGAGCUGGAGUUGAACCGGCGACUUCAGGAUCACAGCGUUUCAGAUGAGGAACAUCCUACAGCCCUCCGCUCUACCAACUGAGCUAUCAGGGUGUUCUCUAGUCACAAUUGCAGAAAACAUAGUGGCUGAGACAACACCCUAUGCCCACACAACUAUUGGAACCCAUAGUCAAUCAAAAGCCCAGCCCUACCUGCAGAACAAAGCUUUGCAGUUUGUACCCAACAGUCAUUGCCAGGGACCCAGAACUGAUAAUCAAGACUUUUAGGCUGGGUGAAUAAAAAAUUGAUGGUUGGAAAAUUAAGUUAUGUGGUUUGUGUUUUUAAAUAUUGGAGGAGUUGACAGAUAAAGACAAGGCUUGGCUUUAUUUCAAUUUGACAUGCACAGGGUUGGAGCUGGAGUUGAACCGGAGACUUCAGGAUCACAGCGUUUCAGAUGAGGAACAUACUACAGCCCUCCGCUCUACCAACUGAGCUAUCAGGGUGUUCUCUAGUCACAAUUGCAGAAAACAUAGUGGCUGAGACAACACCCUAUGCCCACACAACUAUUGGAACCCAUAGUCAAUCAAAAGCCCAGCCCUACCUGCAGAACAAAGCUUUGCAGUUUGUACCCAACAGUCAUUGCCAGGGACCCAGAACUGAUAAUCAAGACUUUUAGGCUGGGUGAAUAAAAAAUUGAUGGUUGGAAAAUUAAGUUAUGUGGUUUUAAAUAUUGGAGGAGUUGACAGAUAAAGACAAGGCUUGGCUUUAUUUCAAUUUGACAUGCACAGGCUUGGAGCUGGAGUUGAACCGGCGACUUCAGGAUCACAGCGUUUCAGAUGAGGAACAUCCUACAGCUCUCUGCUCUACCAACUGAGCUAUCAGGGUGUUCUCUAGUCACAAUUGCAGAAAACAUAGUGGCUGAGACAACACCCUAUGCCCACACAACUAUUGGAACCCAUAGUCAAUCAAAAGCCCAGCCCUAGCUGCAGAACAAAGCUUUGCAGCUUGUACCCAACAGUCAUUGCCAGGGACCCAGAACUGAUAAUCAAGACUUUUAGGCUGGGUGAAUAAAAAAUUGAUGGUUGGAAAAUUAAGUUAUGUGGUUUGUGGUUUUAAAUAUUGGAGGAGUUGACAGAUAAAGACAAGGCUUGGCUUUAUUUCAAUUUGACAUGCACAGGCUUGGAGCUGGAGUUGAACCGGCGACUUCAGGAUCACAGCGUUUCAGAUGAGGAACAUCCUACAGCCCUCCGCUCUACCAACUGAGCUAUCAGGGUGUUCUCUAGUCACAAUUGCAGAAAACAUAGUGGCUGAGACAACACCCUAUGCCCACACAACUAUUGGAACCCAUAGUCAAUCAAAAGCCCAGCCCUACCUGCAGAACAAAGCUUUGCAGUUUGUACCCAACAGUCAUUGCCAGGGACCCAGAACUGAUAAUCAAGACUUUUAGGCUGGGUGAAUAAAAAACUGAUGGUUGGAAAAAUAAGUUAUGUGGUUUGUGUUUUUAAAUAUUGGAGGAGUUGACAGAUAAAGACAAGGCUUGGCUUUAUUUCAAUUUGACAUGCACAGGCUUGGAGCUGGAGUUGAACCGGCGACUUCAGGAUCACAGCGUUUCGGAUGAGGAACAUCCUACAGCCCUCCGCUCUACCAACUGAGCUAUCAGGGUGUUCUCUAGUCACAAUUGCAGAAAACAUAGUGGCUGAGACAACACCCUAUGCCCACACAACUAUUGGAACCCAUAGUCAAUCAAAAGCCCAGCCCUACCUGCAGAACAAAGCUUUGCAGUUUGUACCCAACAGUCAUUGCCAGGGACCCAGAACUGAUAAUCAAGACUUUUAGGCUGGGUGAAUAAAAAACUGAUGGUUGGAAAAUUAAGUUAUGUGGUUUGUGUUUUUAAAUAUUGGAGGAGUUGACAGAUAAAGACAAGGCUUGGCUUUAUUUCAAUUUGACAUGCACAGGCUUGGAGCUGGAGUUGAACCGGCGACUUCAGGAUCACAGCGUUUCGGAUGAGGAACAUCCUACAGCCCUCCGCUCUACCAACUGAGCUAUCAGGGUGUUCUCUAGUCACAAUUGCAGAAAACAUAGUGGCUGAGACAACACCCUAUGCCCACACAACUAUUGGAACCCAUAGUCAAUCAAAAGCCCAGCCCUACCUGCAGAACAAAGCUUUGCAGUUUGUACCCAACAGUCAUUGCCAGGGACCCAGAACUGAUAAUCAAGACUUUUAGGCUGGGUGAAUAAAAAAUUGACUGUUGGAAAAUGAAGUUAUGUGUUUUUAAAUAUUGGAGGAGUUGACAGAUAAAGACAAGGCUUGGCUUUAUUUCAAUUUGACAUGCACAGGCUUGGAGCUGGAGUUGAACCGGCGACUUCAGGAUCACAGCGUUUCAGAUGAGAAACAUGCUACAGCCGUCCGCUCUACCAACUGAGGUAUCAGGGUGUUCUCUAGUCGCAAUUGCAGAAAACAUAGUGGCUGAGACAACACCCUAUGCCCACACAACUAUUGGAACCCAUAGUCAAUCAAAAGCCCAGCCCUACCUGCAGAACAAAGCUUUGCAGCUUGUACCCAACAGUCAUUGCCAGGGACCCAGAACUGAUAAUCAAGACUUUUAGGCUGGGUGAAUAAAAAACUGAUGGUUGGAAAAAUAAGUUAUGUGGUUUGUGUUUUUAAAUAUUGGAGGAGUUGACAGAUAAAGACAAGGCUUGGCUUUAUUUCAAUUUGACAUGCACAGGCUUGGAGCUGGAGUUGAACCGGCGACUUCAGGAUCACAGCGUUUCAGAUGAGGAACAUCCUACAGCCCUCCGCUCUACCAACUGAGCUAUCAGGGUGUUCUCUAGUCACAAUUGCAGAAAACAUAGUGGCUGAGACAACACCCUAUGCCCACACAACUAUUGGAACCCAUAGUCAAUCAAAAGCCCAGCCCUACCUGCAGAACAAAGCUUUGCAGUUUGUACCCAACAGUCAUUGCCAGGGACCCAGAACUGAUAAUCAAGACUUUUAGGCUGGGUGAAUAAAAAAUUGAUGGUUGGAAAAUUAAGUUAUGUGGUUUGUGGUUUUAAAUAUUGGAGGAGUUGACAGAUAAAGACAAGGCUUGGCUUUAUUUCAAUUUGACAUGCACAGGCUUGGAGCUGGAGUUGAACCGGCGACUUCAGGAUCACAGCGUUUCAGAUGAGGAACAUCCUACAGCCCUCCGCUCUACCAACUGAGCUAUCAGGGUGUUCUCUAGUCACAAUUGCAGAAAACAUAGUGGCUGAGACAACACCCUAUGCCCACACAACUAUUGGAACCCAUAGUCAAUCAAAAGCCCAGCCCUACCUGCAGAACAAAGCUUUGCAGCUUGUACCCAACAGUCAUUGCCAGGGACCCAGAACUGAUAAUCAAGACUUUUAGGCUGGGUGAAUAAAAAACUGAUGGUUGGAAAAAUAAGUUAUGUGGUUUGUGUUUUUAAAUAUUGGAGGAGUUGACAGAUAAAGACAAGGCUUGGCUUUAUUUCAAUUUGACAUGCACAGGCUUGGAGCUGGAGUUGAACCGGCGACUUCAGGAUCACAGCGUUUCCGAUGAGGAACAUCCUACAGCCCUCCGCUCUACCAACUGAGCUAUCAGGGUGUUCUCUAGUCACAAUUGCAGAAAACAUAGUGGCUGUGACAACACCCUAUGCCCACACAACUAUUGGAACCCAUAGUCAAUCAAAAGCCCAGCCCUACCUGCAGAACAAAGCUUUGCAGUUUGUACCCAACAGUCAUUGCCAGGGACCCAGAACUGAUAAUCAAGACUUUUAGGCUGGGUGAAUAAAAAAUUGAUGGUUGGAAAAUUAAUUUAUGUGGUUUGAAAUAUUGGAGGAGUUGACAGAUAAAGACAAGGCUUGGCUUUAUUUCAAUUUGACAUGCACAGGGUUGGAGCUGGAGUUGAACCGGCGACUUCAGGAUCACAGCGUUUCAGAUGAGGAACAUCCUACAGCCGUCCGCUCUACCAACUGAGCUAUCAGGGUGUUCUCUAGUCACAAUUGCAGAAAACAUAGUGGCUGAGACAACACCCUAUGCCCACACAACUAUUGGAACCCAUAGUCAAUCAAAAGCCCAGCCCUACCUGCAGAACAAAGCUUUGCAGCUUGUACCCAACAGUCAUUGCCAGGGACCCAGAACUUAUAAUCAAGACUUUUAGGCUGGGUGAAUAAAAAACUGAUGGUUGGAAAAUUAAGUUAUGUGGUUUGUGUUUUUAAAUAUUGGAGGAGUUGACAGAUAAAGACAAGGCUUGGCUUUCUUUCAAUUUGACAUGCACAGGCUUGGAGCUGGAGUUGAACCGGCGACUUCAGGAUCACAGCGUUUCAGAUGAGGAACAUCCUACAGCCCUCCGCUCUACCAACUGAGCUAUCAGGGUGUUCUCUAGUCACAAUUGCAGAAAACAUAGUGGCUGAGACAACACCCUAUGCCCACACAACUAUUGGAACCCAUAGUCAAUCAAAAGCCCAGCCCUACCUGCAGAACAAAGCUUUGCAGCUUGUACCCAACAGUCAUUGCCAGGGACCCAGAACUGAUAAUCAAGACUUUUAGGCUGGGUGAAUAAAAAACUGAUGGUUGGAAAAUUAAGUUAUGUGGUUUGUGUUUUUAAAUAUUGGAGGAGUUGACAGAUAAAGACAAGGCUUGGCUUUAUUUCAAUUUUAACAUGCACAGGCUUGGAGCUGGAGUUGUACCGGCGACUUCAGGAUCACAGCGUUUCAGAUGAGUAACAUGCUACAGCCCUCCGCUCUACCAACUGAGCUAUCAGGGUGUUCUCUAGUCACAAUCGCAGAAAACAUAGUGGCUGAGACAACACCCUAUGCCCACACAACUAUUGGAACCCAUAGUCAAUCAAAAGCCCAGCCCUACCUGCAGAACAAAGCUUUGCAGUUUGUACCCAACAGUCAUUGCCAGGGACCCAGAACUGAUAAUCAAGACUUUUAGGCUGGGUGAAUAAAAAAUUGAUGGUUGGAAAAUUAAGUUAUGUGGUUUGUGUUUUUAAAUAUUGGAGGAGUUGACAGAUAAAGACAAGGCUUGGCUUUAUUUCAAUUUGACAUGCACAGGCUUGGAGCUGGAGUUGAACCGGCAACUUCAGGAUCACAGCGUUUCAGAUGAGGAACAUCCUACAGCCGUCCGCUCUACCAACUGAGCUAUCAGGGUGUUCUCUAGUCACAAUUGCAGAAAACAUAGUGGCUGAGACAACACCCUAUGCCCACACAACUAUUGGAACCCAUAGUCAAUCAAAAGCCCAGCCCUACCUGCAGAACAAAGCUUUGCAGUUUGUACCCAACAGUCAUUGCCAGGGACCCAGAACUGAUAAUCAAGACUUUUAGGCUGGGUGAAUAAAAAAUUGAUGGUUGGAAAAUUAAGUUAUGUUGUUUGUGUUUUUAAAUAUUGGAGGAGUUGACAGAUAAAGACAAGGCUUGGCUUUAUUUCAAUUUGACAUGCACAGGCUUGGAGCUGGAUUGAACCGGCGACUUCAGGAUCACAGUGUUUCAGAUGAGGAACAUCCUACAGCCCUCCGCUCUACCAACUGAGCUAUCAGGGUGUUCUCUAGUCACAAUUGCAGAAAACAUAGUGGGUGAGACAACACCCUAUGCCCACACAACUAUUGGAACCCAUAGUCAAUCAAAAGCCCAGCCCUACCUGCAGAACAAAGCUUUGCAGUUUGUACCCAACAGUCAUUGCCAGGGACCCAGAACUGAUAAUCAAGACUUUUAGGCUGGGUGAAUAAAAAAUUGAUGGUUGGAAAAUUAAGUUAUGUGGUUUGUGUUUUUAAAUAUUGGAGGAGUUGACAGAUAAAGACAAGGCAUGGCUUUAUUUCAAUUUGACAUGGACAGGCUUGGAGCUGGAGUUGAACCGGCGACUUCAGGAUCACGGCGUUUCAGAUGAGGAACAUCCUACAGCCCUCGGCUCUACCAACUGAGCUAUCAGGGUGUUCACUAGUCACAAUUGCAGAAAACAUAGUGGCCGAGACAACACCCUAUGCCCACACAACUAUUGGAACCCAUAGUCAAUCAAAAGCCCAGCCCUACCUGCAGAACAAAGCUUUGCAGUUUGUACCCAACAGUCAUUGCCAGGGACCCAGAACUGAUAAUCAAGACUUUUAGGCUGGGUGAAUAAAAAAUUGAUGGUUGGAAAAUUAAGUUAUGUUGUUUGUGUUUUUAAAUAUUGGAGGAGUUGCCAGAGAAAGACAAGGCUUGGCUUUCUUUCAAUUUGACAUGCACAGGCUUGGAGCUGGAGUUGAACCGGCGACUACAGGAUCACAGCGUUUCAGAUGAGGAAAAUCCUACAGCCCUCCGCUCUACCAACUGAGCUAUCAGGGUGUUCUCUAGUCACAAUUGCAGAAAACAUAGUGGCUGAGACAACACCCUAUGCCCACACAAUUAUUGGAACCCAUAGUCAAUCAAAAGCCCAGCCCUACCUGCAGAACAAAGCUUUGCAGUUUGUACCCGACAGUCAUUGCCAGGGACCCAGAACUGAUAAUCAAGACUUUUAGGCUGGGUGAAUAAAAAAUUGAUGGUUGGAAAAUUAAGUUGUGUUGUUAAAUAUUGGAGGAGUUGACAGACAAAGACAAGGCUUGGCUUUACUUGAAUUUGACAUGCACAGGCUUGGCGCUGGAGUUGAACCAGCAACUUCAGGACCACAGCAUUUCAGAUUAGGAACAUCCUACAGCCCUCCGCUCUACCAACUGAGCUAUCAGGGUGUUCUCUAGUCACAAUUGCAGAAAACAUAGUGGCUGAGACAACACCCUAUGCCCACACAACUAUUGGAACCCAUAGUCAAUCAAAAGCCCAGCCCUACCUGCAGAACAAAGCUUUGCAGUUUGUACCCAACA